rnacentral:lncRNA from 1 species
GGGAACCCACCUCUCCUUUUACAAUUUAAGCAGGUGAUUCAGGAGAGGUGGUUCCUUUGGACAGAGGCACCCACCAGUAACUCGAGACUACUAAUCCGGUCAAAAAUCACCUCUUCAAUUGACGCCGUCUGUAGGAACCCGAGGAUAUCUUAGAAUGAACCCACGCGUUCUAGGAGCAGAAAGGCUCUCACCAUUGGAGCUGAUUCCAAUGCCGCAGCUCAACAGGAAAAUGUCCCAGAAGGACAGGAGUCCCUAGUGACUCGGCCUGCAAACGAAGAAACCAUGACCCAUAUGGCUGAGUUUGUAAGUGAGAACCCUAACAUUUUCGAAGAGUUAGGUAGAUAUUUUAAGAGACAAGGCAAACAAAAGGCCGAGUCCUCUAAAAGGAAAUCAGAUGGGUCCCCCGAAGGCCCAUCCGAUGAGGAAUCCGAGAGAAGGCACUCCAUCAGGAGCACCCCGAAGCGAGCCUCUUCUAAGGCUGCUUCCAGAAUUGCCUCCAUAACUAAGGCAUUCUCGCGGGGUUUGCUGGGGAAGCGGGUUGAGGAAGAAUCUCAGCAUUUGGGAAGGGCAGGAGUGGAUUACAUGAGGGCUCCACCUUUCACGGAUGACAUCAAUGAGGAAAGGCUUCUCCCGAACUUCAAGCUCCCCUCAAUAUCUUCUUACGAUGGCCGAGGUGAUCCUGAAAACCAUAUUCAUGCCUUCAUCUCAACUUUCCGAUUAUAUUGUAUACCCGACCCAGUCAUUUGUCGGGUUUUUCCGGUAUUCCUCCAGGGGACUGCUCGAAAAUGGUUUUGGGGUUUAGAACCUACGAACAUAUCCACCCUGGGGAAACUAGUGGAGAGAUUUUUCUACCGAUUUGUAUCCUCCAAACCGACGACCAGGACCUCGGCUUACUUGCUAACCAUACAGCAGAAUCCGGGAGAGUCACUUCGGUCCUAUAUACAAAGGUUUCACGAGAAAAGUGUGCAGAUACCUUAUCCCAAUGAGCAGGUAACAAUAGCUGCCUUUACCCACGGGCUCGUUGUCGGGGUGUUUAACAUAGGAAUAUACAAGAAGUAUUCUCGCACCCUCCAGGAGCUCUGGUUAAAGGUUGAAAAAGGCAUAUAGGUCGAAGACCUCAACCGUAUGAAAAAAGAGGUCCAACCAGCUCGCUUGGAAACUGAUUCCCGAAGGAGGAAGGAAACCAACUGAAAUGAGGCAGGUACCGUUGGCGGAUUCCAAAGCCCCAGUCGGGAUCGCCGAAAUGUGUUUGACAGGAUAGCCAAGGGGAAGUUGUCUAUCGCUGAUUCUAAGCUAACUCCUUUAAACACCACCCGGUCACGAGUAUUCUCUGUAAUGGAACAGAAUAACCUCGGGCGUGCCCCCCCCGAAGAUGUUCAGAAACAGGGAAAAGAGAAACUCCAAUCUCUACUGCCUGUACUACCGAGACAUCGGCCACGAGACGGAAGAUUGCAAUGACCUCAAAAGAGAGAUAGAGCACCUCAUCAAGUAGGGGCACUUGAAGCAGUUCAUCCGCCAGGAUGGAGGACGUCAACGGAGUUACCCUCAUCACGAAAGCCGAAGUGAUUAACAGCGAGGUGAACAGAGGGGGUCGAAAAGUAGCUGCUGACCCCUCGAGGAUCCUAGGGAGACAAGGAAGCCUCCCCGAGAUGGGUCCUCGGGUCAUGGACUCGGAUACGGGCCGAACAUCGCCGGAGUCAUCAACACCAUUGUCGGAGGUCCAACGAGAGGAGACAACCAAAACUCCUGAAAGAGGACCUACAGGCAAGCCAACCCUGAUCAGGUCAACCUAAGCUCUCGCCUAUCCGAGGUGAUAUUUUACGGCCUCAGCGAUCCCAUCCCCGCUGCCUCUAUCAGCCAUGAAACUCUGAUAAUUGAGGUGCUCAUCAACAAUUACAUAAUCAAGAAAGUGUACGUCGACCCAGGGAGUUCGGUGGAUAUUAUGUAUCUCUGAACCUUUGAGAAAUUGAAGUUGAUUAGAGAGCAGCUCACCCCAGUGAGGAUCUCCCUGGUUGGGUUCAGGGGACACGUAGUAUACCCUGAAGGGAUGGUCACUCUGACGAUGACUGUUGGGCAUCAUCCCCGCUAUCGUACCAUCCCCGUCAACUUCGUUGUGGUUAGAGUUGACUCCCCCUACAGCCUGUUCAUGGGCCGACCUACACUCAAUGCUCUGCGUGCUGUAUAUUUCACGUAUCAUUUGAGUUUCAAAUUUCCAACUCUGGUGGGCACGGUCGAGGUGAGCAGUGAUGUCUGUGCGGUGCGAGAAUGUUACCUCGCCACUUUACAAGCCGCCUCUCCCUCGAUCUCUGAUAUGAGGUUCAAAAAAAGGUCCAGUGUCCUCUCAAUCGACUGUAUAGAUUCUCAGUAAAUCGGGAAGCCCAAGUGGUUGGAGACCGGGGAUGAGGUGGAGGAUGUCCCCUUGGACCUCUCAAGACUCGACCAGAAUGUCCGCGUCGGCAUCCAUCUGCCUGACACUUUGAAGAGGCAGAUGGUGGACAUCCUUAGGGAGUAUCGGAAUGAUUUUGCUUGGGCUGCCUAGGAAGUUACAGGAGUGCUGCACCACCGCAUGGUGCACAAACUAAACGUUGAUCCUCGAGCACGCCCAGUUAAACAAAAUAGAAGGUUUUUCGGUCCAAAUCACAGUAAAGCAAUAGGCGAGGAGGUGGACAACCUCCUGCCUGCGAAGAUAAUCAGAGAAGUGCAGCACCCGACCUGGUUAUCCAACUCAGUCAUGGUCAAAAAGGACACGGGGGCCUGAGAAUGUGCGUCGACUUCGCCGACUUGAAUAAGGCCUGUCCUAAGGACUGCUACCCCUUGCUUAGAGUGGACGCCCUGGUAGACUCGACAAUGGGUUACGAAAUCCUCUACUUCCUCGAUACCUUCAAGGGGUAUCACCAGAUUGGGAUGAGCGAGAAGAACCAGGAGAAGACGGCUUUCUACACAGAUCAAGGUGUGAACUGUUACACUACCAUACUCUUUAGGUUGAAGAACGCCGGGGCCACAUAUCAGCGCCUGGUCAACCGGGCUUUUAAAUCUCAAAUAGGCCGCAAUGUUGAGGCCUACGUGGACGACAUCCUUCUCAAAAGCCAGAAGACCUCUAUUUUCCUAUCCGACCUGGAAGAGGUCCUCGGGGUCUUCCGUGCUACCCGGAUGAUGCUGAACCCCAAGAAAUGUGUUUUCUGGGUCAUUUCAAAAAAAUUCUUGGGAUACCUCGUUUCGCGGCGAGAUAUAGAAGCAAAUUCUGACAAGGUGAAGGCGAUCCAGGAAAUGUCUUCACCUCGGUGCACUCGAGACGUGCAAAGGCUUAUAGGGCGAUUGGCAGCCCUGAAUCGGUUCUUGUCGCAGUCCGCUUCUAAGGCACUGCCCUUCUUCAAGGUGUUGAAGAAGGCUGACAAGUUCUCCUGGACAGAAGAAUGCCAACAGGCCUUUGAGCAAAUGAAGGUAUAUCUACACCACUUCCCAACGCUCAUCUCACCUCGUUCGGGAGACAAGCUCUACUUAUACCUGUCCGCCGCAAAAGAGGCUGUAAGUACCGUGCUAAUACGGGAGGAAUGUGUUCAAAUGCCGGUUUAUUAUGUCAAUCGGGUCCUUUGAGGGCCCGAGACCAGAUACACUCAAGCCGAAAAGCUUGUACUGGCCUUGGUCCAAGCCGCUCGUAGGUUAAAACCCUUAUUUUUAGCUCACCACAUUUGUUUGAGGACAGAUUAGCUCCUUCAGCAGGUUAUAUCGCGAUCUGAAGCAUCUGGUCGUCUCACUAAAUGGGCCAUUGAACUGGGAGAAUACAAUCUGUCCUAUGAGUCUCGCACGGCCAUCAAAGAUCAAGUCCUUGCGGAUUUCUUAGCCGAGCUCACUUUCAACGAAGUGGAUGAGUUCACCUCAGCAGUUGCCGAGCCUCAGCGAUGGAUCUUGUACGUGGACGGCUAUUCUAAUAGCGAGGGUAGUGGGGCAGGUCUACUCCUCGAAAACCCUCAAGGGGAGCUGUAUUCGUACGUCCUGCGGUUUGAUUUCGCAGCCUCUAAUAACGAAGCCGAAUAUGAAGCGGUCAUUGCUGGCCUACAGUUGGCUCAUAGGUUCGGUGCCCGACACAUCUUGGUCAACAGUGACUCCCAACUCGUCGUGUGUCAAAUACUUGGCGAGUACGAGGCCAGAGAAGAGGUCAUGCAACGUUACCUCUCCAAGGUCCACCAGUUCAUUGCACAUUUCGAGUCUUUCGAAAUCUAAAGGAUACCUCGCUCGCAAAACAAACGGGUUGACGCCCUGUCUCGACUCGCUUCCACCUCUUUUUUCGACCUAAACAAAAUGGUCCUUGUUGAAGUUUUAGCCGAGCUGGGGUACUUGGAAGAAACUGUAUGCCCCAUUUAUCCAGGGGACAUCUGGAUGGGCCGCUGGUUCGGUUCCUCAGUCAGGGUGAGCUUCCGGAGAAUCGGACCGAGGCAAGAAAAUUUCAGCGUAAGACAGCGCGAUACGCUCUCCACUAGAACUUCUUGUACAAAAGAUCGUAUCUUGGCCCAUGGUUGCGGUGCAUUACGCCAGAGGAAGGGGAAAGGAUUCUAAAAGACAUAUACGAGGGGCUCUGUGGUGCCCAUGUCGGCUAUCGGAUGCUGGUCAAGAAAGCCCUAUUGCUUGGGUACUUCUGACCUGCCAUUCGGCGGGAUGCCCAGCUCUUGGUCCUUAGCUGCCCUUCCUGCCAACAUCACGCCCCUGAGCACCAUCAGCCGACCAACCUUAUGAUUUUCAUCACCUCGCCAUGGCCAUUCGAACAAUGGGGAACUGAUAUAAUUGGCUCGUUCCCCAGAGCUCCAAGCAAUUAUGCGUAUCUAGUAGUGGCGGUGGAUUAUUUCAUCAAAUGGGUCGAAACCGAGCCCCUGAGAAGUAUGACUGGAUUAGCGGUCCAAAAAUUCUUCUGGAAGAAUGUGGUCUGCCGUUUCGAAUUACCACGGGUAGUCAUCUCGGAUAGUGGCAAGCAGUUUGCGGAUACCCCUUCAAAGGGUGGUGCGAGAGUUUAGGAAUCAGACAACACUUCACCUCGGUUGGACACUGCCAAGCCAACGGGCAAGCUGAGAAUUUCAAUCGUACAUUCCUUCACGGCCUUAAAACCAGGCUACAUCAAGCAAGGUCAUCUUAAGUGGAUGAACUCCCCAGCGUGUUAUGGUCCUACCGGACUACUUCGAGAUCCGCAAUGCAAGAGACCCCGUUCUCUUUAAUCUACGGGUUCGAAAUCGUGGUUCCUGCCGAAUUUAUCACCCCGAACCCACGUAUGGCAGCUUUUUCAGUCGAGAUGAAUGAAAAAGAAAGACGGGUGGACCUUGACCUCGCCGAGGAGAAGUGUGACACCGCGGCAGCUAAAGUCACAAUAUACAAGAAUAUCUUAACUAACUACUACAAUGCUCGGGUCAGACAUCUGCGGUUCAGUUUGGGAGACCUUGUGCUCCGAAAGAAUUCAGUUAGCCGAGCUGAAACUCAGGGCAAAUUAACUCCCAAGUAGGAAAGACCCUAUCGUGUCAUUGAGUCUAACCAAAAUAAUAUUGUAAAUUAGCUUAUCGAAAUGGUUCUCGGGUACCCCAAACUUGGCAUGCUGAGAAUCUCAAGUUGUAUCACCCUUGAAGGGUAUGUACCUACUUAGUCUGAGUUAUUCAGCUUGGUAUUCGACUUUUAGUUAUUUUUCCCUUAGCAUCAUCUUAUUCUAAGUGAAAAAUAAGGGGAUAGAGCGGGAAUACGAGAAGCUGAGCUCAAACAUAAAAUAUAACAGAAAUUAAUAACAUUAAAAAAGCGAUUACAAAAAGCCGAGGUCCGGAGCAUUCACGAUCUCGGCCCUUGAUUACAAAAAUGAUAAAAAGGCAGGAAUGCUUCUAAGCACUCCCUGCCUCAGUAUCUAAGUCGUUUCCGGUCUCCCCAACACCUAUAGCCUUCUCGCCUACCUCUUCGCCACCGAACCUGUCCCCCUCAAGGUCAAAUUCAGCGAGCUACUUAUUGAAUUCCACCCGGACCUCAGCCAAGUCCCUUCCGGCCUGAAUGUCCUCGGCCAUGCGGUCGCACAACUCAUUGGCAUCCUCGUUGAAGUUUGGCUUGUCUUGGAGAGACUCCAACUGCUUGGAGGUAAGGAAAGGUGCCGCGUCGUUGACGGCCGAGGUGUAUCCGAACAUAAAACUCGGCAGCGUAACCUCGUCGAGGUCACGAGUGAAGGCCGAGGUUCCGGCCCUCUCUAUCGCCUCCCGAGCUGAUUGUUCCUCUUGGGCCCUCCUCUCUUUUUCUUCGUUGAGGGCCGUCAUCAAGGAAUUCCGGCUGGCCUCGGCUUGCUUCCGUGCUGCUUCAGCCUUGUCGCACUCUUGUUCGGUGGCCCUCAACUUUUCCUCCAGCUCGGCGACCUUCUUCUGAACCUCGGAAGAUGACUGAUAGCUUUCCACCAGUUUGGUAUAACGCUGGGUUAUCUCGGACAAGAAGGCCGUGGUGGAGGCCCAAGAGACAGAGGCGCUCUGCAUCAACUCAGCAGAAGUGAGCUUUCUGGCAUAGGUGCUGUUCCUUGGAAGAACUGAGUGCACCAGAAGCUCCUGAGCGACCAGGGGAUUUUUGCAGCGGUCAUUUACAUUGAUCUCCCACUCCGGACACCACUGCACGCUGGAGUGCCUCUUAUCCUCCCCGACUUCCUGAGGGGGCACGUUAUGUAAGUUGAACAGUGAAGAUCCUAUGACAAGGAUUUCGAGAAAGAUAGUCACGCCUCGGCCCCGGGGUGGAGAAGCUAUUGUAACCCCGCGGGUGGGCACUCCCACCGGAAUAGUUGAGGUAUCCAUCGAAAUAGCUGAACUACCCCCCGGAAUGGCCGAGGUACGGGAGCCUUCUCCCGUAAUUAUCACGGGAGAAUCGCGGCUUGCAGUGGCCACGGUUGUCCUCUUCUUUGGCGGGGCAGAUGACUCGGCAGUAUCCUUGUGUUUUGUUGGCCUCUUUGCUACCUCGGUGGAUCCCGAGAUGAUCAAGUCAGAAACUCUCACCACUACAAAGCACAAAAGCAUAGUUAUUUAGAAUCAAGGAAAAGUAAAAGCAAAGUUUGGAACGGAAGAAUACAAUGUUUUUGAAGCCUAGUAGAAAAGAAGGGUGGACGAUCCAGGCUGAUGAGAGUUCGGUUGAUCCCACCAUCAACCAGGACUGCCUCAGGAAAGGCCCAACAGUUGAUCUUGAGGUCCGACCCCAUAAGUUUUCGGAAGAUCUCUUCCUUCAGGUCGUCCGGAGAAGUCUCCUUGACCGUGGUAGGAGGCCUCUACCAGAACCCCCUUGGGAAGUCAUCUGUCGGGACAAAAACGAAGUUGCGUUUCCACUCCUUUAUAGAGGUGGGGGCAUCCACUACUAACUUCGGGACCUUGUUCCCGAAGUAGAACCACCCCUUCUCUCUCCCACUGUUUUUGAUCGAAUAACAGUGGCGAAAAAGGUUGACGGUGGGAGUGAUUUCCUGAUGUCGGCACAACAUUUGGAAGCCGACGAGGACCCUGAUUGCGUUGGGGGUGAGUUGAGUGAUCCUCACUCCCCAGUACCUCAGACAAACUCGGAGGAAUUUGGUAGUCGGCAUUCUGAGCUCGGCCUUUAACUGAUCCGCGCAAAUAGCUACUCUACCCCUAGGUGGUAGUUCGGCUGACUGAUCCGGUCGAGGUGGGUAGAUGCUGUAAUUCCUCCUCCAAGAGUACUUGCGAACCAGCUCGGCUAUUAAGGUCUGGCCCAUGAUGCUGCUGAACAUGGGAACCUAGCCGUAGUCAAUAGCUGAUAGAUCCUGAGGGAUGGCUGGUUCCUGCGCCCUGUCGUCCCUUGGUAUCUCAUUGCCGAGAUCGUCGUUGUAAAGGACCUCGGUCUCUCCUUCGCUCUCUUCUUGAUGUGUCCCAGCCUAGUGAGACGCUCCAGCAGCCUCUUCUCUGGGCUCAGAAGCAGUUCUAUUUUCGAUAGGGUCGGGCCUCUCUGUCUCGGGGAAACUUGGCCUCACCGUUUCCUUGUGUGUGCGAGUUGUUCUAGCCAUACGUAAAGGAAAAGAAGUGAAACUUACUCUUAAAGCCAAUCGGGAUUUCAGGGAUUGCCGAGGUGAAGGUAUGGCAAAGAUUUGCUCUGAGGUGAUUGAAAACCUUUGCGGUAAAAAGUAACAGGGUGAAAGGAACCCCUUAUUUAUAGGCCAGCAGGGGACUCAAGGGGCGGCACCUUUGGGAUACUCGAGGAAAUGCCUUCUUUCCUCAUUAAUUAAAGAUUCUGAUCGCUGAUUUCACGUCUCUCCAUAAAUCGUCAUUAAAGCUGCCAGCUAUCUUUUCAUCUCCCUUCCUGUCCCAUCCACACACGACUGACAUGUCACCAUCGCAGUUCGCACCCUGGAACCACUCGUAAGUCUCGGAAAGCAGUGAACGAUUCCCUCUUUUCGAGACUUGAGGGGCCUAGUGAGAAUGGUCAUCUCGGCUCACGUAGGUCGAGAUGACCAUUCUUCACCAAGAAAUUAUGGUGCUCACCCCGAAGCCACCUCGGCCUCAGAUCACCUCUUGACUACAGAGGUGAUCUCGUCGUAGUUCCCACCGCGGGAUAUCUUCUGGCCGAUCAUGACCGAAGUCAUGACCAAGGACCUCGGGGCCCAGUAGCGAGGAUAUGACCUCUGACACACUGGUGAUGUCUGACACACUGCCCCUGCACAGUACAGUCAAAUCCCUGUGAUACGCUGUUUCCAUCAGAUGUCUGGGGACCCGGGCCUACAAUUCCUCCCUCCAAAUUGUCCCCUAUAAAUAUCGGGACUUCCCACUAGUAAGAGAGAGCUCUCAAGUAAGUAAACAAAAAACUCCCUACAAGUCUCAUAUCUUAAUACUUCAUCUCAAACUAACUUAAGUUUCGGAGCUACACCGGAGAACCCAGCUCCUUCUUUUACAAUCUAAGCAGGUGAUUCAGGAGAGGUGGUUCCUUUGGACAGAGGCACCCACCAGUAAUCCGAAGCUACUAGUCCGAUCAAAAAUCACCUCUUCACUAACCAUUGCUAAGAUAGAGGAUAUAUAUGGUUGUUUUGCAGUAACCAAACGAUCAUCGUUAAAAAUGAGUUAAAACCACAGUUAAAAAUGCCAUUAAAAUCUACAUGGAAAAUUAAAAAAAAAACAUACAUGCACAAAUUACAUUCAAACUAAUUUUCAUUUCUUAUUCCCUAAAGUCAGACCAUUUUUCUUAAAUAGUAGAAAGGUCAGCUAGCAUGAGUAUAAAAUCUAGUAUACCCAAGAAACAUGUAAGAAAAUGCCCUUUAUCCAUGCUGUGGCCACUAGAAAUUGCCUAACCGAAUCAGCUACAAAUUUGAUCACCCAGUCAAAGAACUAAUUCAUCAUGAGUUUCCUCUUCCUCCUCCUUUUUGGCUGCUUCAAAACAAAUGGAUACAAAAAAAUUUCUAGCUUGGCUGCCAGGCUUAGUCUAUCCAACUUCUUUGCUGCUGGGCUCCCCGGCAGCGUAUCAUUUUUAGAAAAAUUUUUUUUUUCCUGUCGUGCUGACUAAGCUCAGCAUGCAUAGUUUCGUACCAUACCUAUGUCAGAAUAAUAUUCUUCUGAUUUUUUAUUUUUUGUACAAUAAUUGCAGGAAUUAGCCAGGAAACUACUAAUCAAAGUUUGUCUUUUGUCUUUUUUGGGGUUUAAAGUUAAUUGAAGGCUUACAAGUCAACGUUAAAGGUUUACUUGAAGACUCGUAAGUCAACAGGUCAAUUGGUUUUGUGACAAUAUCGGACAAGCCAUUGUAGAUUCAAACAAAUGAUGUAAUAAAUAGUUGAUUAGACAUAGGAUUAAAUUGUAGUUAAACACUUAAAAAGAGAUUACAAUAGUUAUUCUGUUUAAACGAUAAAAUAUUCUAAAAUGUAAUGUAUUUUAGAUACUUGUUAUUUGUUAUUCUUAUUAUUUCAUGUGAUGAUUUGUAUUUAUGUCAUUGCACAUCUAUAUGUAUAUCUUAUCUUACUAGAAGAUAGACAAAUGUCCAAAGUCACUAUAGCAACUUCCUUUGCUGACACGUGACACUAUGGGUGAAUCUUGAACUUUCUCUUUUGCUUUCUCUAUGGACUGGGUAUUGCCUUGUGAACUUGGCAUUCCUUUAUAAGAUUGACUGGGGGAGUAAGGUCUUUUGCCUAUAAUUAUAAGGUUGAAAUAUUUUUAAUAGACUUUUCAAACUCUAGAUUUUGGAGAGAUAUAAUUCAAUUAGAGUAUCAUUUACAUGAUCAUUUCAACUUAUAUUUGACAAAUUAACUUAAGUUUUAAUCGGAUUACAAUGCUAUUAUCAUUGUUAUUAUUUGAAUUUAUAUUUAUAUUUAUUUCAAUAUGAAUUAUCAUUUAAAAUUAUAUUUGACAAAUUAAGUUGCAUUUGUUAAAAAUCGUAGAAUUGCAUGGAUUUUUUCAAAUUGUUAUAUUCUUUGACAUUUUGUUAUUUUGUUAAUGUAAUGAAACAUAUUAUUUAAAACUAAUUUCAUUUUGUUAUCAAUUCUAUUUUAAUUCAUUUAUACCUUAAUAUGUGUUUUUUUAUUACAAUUAAUUUUUUUCCUUUCAUAAUCAAAUGAAUGCAUUAACGUCUAAAUGACAAAAAUAUGUGUAUAUCUAUUAUAUUUCAUUUAAAAUGCUCUUUAUUGUUGUUUUCAUGGUAACCGUUAGAUUUGCAUUUUUUUUCUUAUUUUCUAUGCUACCAGAUUAUUAAAUUAUCAAUAAAGCUUAUUUAUUACAAGUUCUAAUUUGGAGAGAAAAAUGCUUUUUGAAACUUUUUGCAUUAUUAGAUUAUUCAACAAGCCAACUUACAGAUUGCUUGAUUCUCCUAUUUUUCCUCUGUUUUGCUUGUAAUAAGUCAUAAGUCAAAUAAUGCAAUCAUUCUUCAACUACUCAACUUUUUCUCAUUUACCUAACUAGAGUAAAUACUUACAUUUUUCUUCGCAGUUAGAUCGUCCUUCACAAGAAAAUCAACCUUUUGAUGAACUAUCAAUUGUAUUUCAUCUAUUUAUAACCAUUAGAUUGAAAGACAAAGUACUAGCUUAGUUUAGCUUUCAUAGAUUACCUUUUAGAUGAAAUUAUUAUCAACAAACUAACCUUGAAUAGUAUAGUACACACCCUCACAUACACUACCAACCUUUAUCGUGUUUCAUUUCCUUCUCAUUCUCACAUAGUAGAGAGAAAACUUCCUUCACUUUCUUGUUUUCUCAUGUUUAGUAAUACAAUUUUUCUUACUUUUUACUUCAACAAAUCUAUGCAUUUAUAUCUUGCUAUAGUAACAUAUACUUUCUUUUACAUGUUUUGUGUUUUCUUUUUGCAGCAUUACUUUUAGUACUCAAGAUUUUUUGCUUUGCUUGUCACUAUACUCUAAGUUAGUCACUUCACUUAUUUUAUUUAGCACCAAUUAAACCUAUAUAAACCAACUGGAAUUGCCACCAAACAUAAUAUACACUUUUUCUAUCAAUUUUAUUUUAUUUUGUUUAUGCGCUAAUACUUGCUUUUUAUUACAACGAAUUUUUUCCUUUUAUUAACCAGCAAUGCAUUAAGAUACUCUUUAUAAUAUAUUUACACAUGACACUUAACUCAGAAACAAUCCUUCAAAUUUUGUUACCCUUGAACACUUUAGGGUGGGCAUUACACAGCUAGGGCUUACUAGUAUAUAUAUAUAUAUAUAUAUAUAUAUAUAUAUAUAUAUAUAUAUAUAUAUAUGAAAGUAGUUAUUUUAAUUAAAGUUAUUUCUCACUCCUACAUGGCAUGCCUAAUUGAGGAGAAUUAACGAACACUUGGAUUUUACCCAUAUUAAAUCUGAAUUGGAUUAUAUUAUACUAGUUUUUGGUCCCUGCGCCAUGCGCAGGGUAGCCUGUGUUGGGGGUGAUGGAUUUUGUUGUGUAAUUGGGAGGAUUUUGUUGAUGGAAAGACCAAGACACCCCACGAAGUCAUCAGAAUUACCAUCGAAACCGGCCCAUGGUGCACUGUAGCUAUUCCCCCUUCCCCCUUUUAUAUAUUUAAGAUGUUUAUAAAUUAUCUCUAAUUUUAAAAUAACUUUAAAAAUAACUAAUUUUAUCUUAAAGAUAUUGUUUUGAAAAACAAGUAAUCUUAUCUUAAUGAUUCUACUCUCUAUCAAAUUAUUACAUAUAGAACUAUAGUAAAACUUUUUUCAAAUCACAAUUAUUGAAAUAUUACAUAUCCCAAAUUACUUCCUUUCACCACUAUAUUGUUGAUUAGUAUUUAAAUUGUUCAUCAUUUCUUCCCUUAAUUUUGAAUUAACUUAGUAUAAAAAAUAGAAUUAAUUGUUACACUGACAGAUUUACCAAUAUUAUUGGAAACUGAAUAUUUAUUGAUUAAGAAAAAUGAAUUGCUCGAUUUUUUCUACUUUAUUAAAUAUGAAUUAUAGUUCUAGAUUUAUGGUUAUUAUAAAAAUUUAAAUUAUCUAAAAGAAUAUUUGUAAAAAAAGGAAUAUCUACCAAGUUUUUUAUAUGGGGUACUUGAUUUGAUAUAUACUAUCAUAUUAUAGUAAAAGUAUGUAAAUUUUUUUUUAAAAAUUAGUAAAUAAUUGAACAUUUAGAAUACAUUAAUUUUUUAAAGUUAAUAUAGAUAAAAAUGUAGGAUUGUUGUUAAUUUUUGUAUUUAAAUUAUUUAAAUUUGUAUAAUUCGUAAUAAAUAAAAAAAAGACCGUGUUAAGGUACGGGCAAAAUUUUAAUUAUUUAAUAAAGGAUCAAAAAAUUUAUACUACUUUUUUUUAACCCUCCCAUCCCUCUCCACAUUUUUUCCACCCCAAUUCCUAAUUGUGGGGCACAAGAUUCGAAACCUAAGGGAAAACUAACAGUGUCCUGACUCCAAAAGACUUGUACUUGAAUCCUCGUAUAUAUGUAGCAAUCAAAUUUUAAUUGUAAUUCAUUGGGUGCUUAAGACUUCCCUAGUUAUUGCCUCAUGUGGGACCUAAUUUGAUUUGUCAUUUGUUUAUCUCCAAGGACAUACUAAAUUAUUAAGGGAGUAUAUAGGUCGAAAUAAUGAGUAUAAGGGCUAAAUUGGUUUCCACAAAAACAUGAGGGACCAAAUAAGUUUGCUACCAAAUCUGAUUCAGCAUUAAAAUAGUGCUAUCUAUUCCUAAAUCCUACACAAAGUAUAUGGUUGUAAAAUACAAUAUAUGAAAACACAGUUAAUAAAGUUGGGACAAAAAUUGUCCGUGAUGCCCUAAUUUAGUAGAGCACUUACCAAAAACAAGACUUUUCUUCAAAAUAUUAAAAACCAAAAUCUUAUCAUGCUCUUUUUUUUUGGAGGCUAAUUUCAUCAUGUCAUUUCUGCCUUUUUCUUAAGUGAGGAUUCGUAUUUUAGUAACUUUUCCUAUGUACCUUUCCUAAACCGUUUUAUCUAAUUCAAUCCUCUCUCUCACAUACACACAAGGAAUUUCAAACUUACAUUUGUACAAUAUUAUGUCCUUAAAUUUCUAGAUAUCCUUAAAAAUCUUAGGUUCCAUUUCAAUUGUAAGUUUUUGGAGUUUUUAUAGAAAAAUAUAUUGUAACAAUGUGACGUAUAUUAUAUAAAAAGGUGAUUGAAAAUUGUGUUUAAAGAUUUUUUAUUUAUUUAUGAAAAUUCGCAAUCCAAACAACGAAGGUAAAUGACUAAUAUCUACAUAUUAGUCAGAAUACCAUUUGCAUUCUCUAGUGGGCGUCAUUAGUGUCAUAACUUCAAUAACUAAAUAUUUGGAGUUUUAUAGGUAGCAUAUAAGUGGGGUUACAUGUAACAUGGAUUCAGUAAAAUACCUGGCAACAUCUUAUUAAUUACUAAAUUAGAAGAUUCACAAAACCAUUAAAGCCAGUGUAUUAAAAGAAUUUCCUCAACUCCAAUUGAAUUCUCUAAAUUCGUUGUAAGUUAUCUCUAGAUUAAUUUUAUCAUUUAUCUUAACGCAAUCCAAAUAGGAAGAAAAUUUUCAUUCAUCCUGGAAACAAUUGGUGUCUAUUUUUACUACAGAAUAAUUUUACUCAUAGGCCAUAUUUACUUUAAGGAAAAGUCAUAUUGGUGACAUUUUUUUUCUCCCUUUACUUUGCAUUGUUUCAAAUGGCCAGAAUGCUAAUCCACUCCGAAGCAAGAGAAUCCACUUCCAAGCCAAAUUGGUAUAGCUCUAGAAGUGGAAGGUCUUGAAUUUAGAAUCUCUUACUUACAAUCUCUCUCUCCUCAUCACAUAAUUCAAUCCUCCCCUGUUCACCUCUAAAUCAAAUGAGCAUAAUAUGCAUGGAAUCCUCCGACUCUUUUUCUUAACUGAAAAGCAGUAGGCUUCUUUUCUAAAAGAGUCUACCAAUACAUGUUGGUUCAAUUAGUAAAGAUGGAUCUCCUCUUUACUAAAAAUUGCGUAUCGAAUCUUGUUAUUAAUGUGAGGAUUUUAUUGAUAGAUAAUCUAUAUAAAUAUAAGUGACCUAAAGUAUGGUCAUGGGGGCAUGCCUUAGCUUGGAAUCACACAAACUUAAAAAGAAAAAAAAAAGAAAAUUACAAGUCCAACUGGGACCAGGUGCAUAGUAAGGCUCUAAGAGGCCUCUCUGGUCACUAAACCAGAGUCUAUGUUUAAAAUUGCUUACAUGAAUGAUCUUGUAUAUGUAGGGAAUCCCAAUUUGAAAUUCUGGAAUAUAUUUUUCCUUUGCUUAGAAGUGCAUUUGUGACCCAAAUCUCCAUAGGAAUCCCUAGAAAAACAGAAAAUUUCUAGGAGAAACAGAAAACUCUUACUAAGAAAACUUAGAAGAGACCAUUAGCAAAACAAAACAAAACAAAAUUCGUGGGGGAGAUGAUGAUAUGGUCUCCUUUCCUAAAGGAAGGCCUUUGAAAAGAGCAAAAGAAGUAGAGACAAUUUGGAGAAGAGGAGAGGUAGAUCUUAUUGCUCAAUUAAUUGUACAAAUCUAGUUGAGGUUUUCCUUAUUUGCAAAUUGGGGUUUGACUAUUUAUUUUAUUAUGCAACUUCGUAACACAAUUCAAAACAUCGGAUGAUAGUUCAAAAUUUUAUGUUAUAGUGACAAAAUACUUCUUAUUGUAAAAAAAUCAUAUUGCAGUAUACAAUACAUAUUUUUUUAUUGUUUUCAAUUCAUUGUAUAGUGACAAUAAUUUUAUCAUCAACUCGUAGAAUACAGAUGUUGCUCCCUUGAAGAAAACGACAAUAAGCAAGUUUUUUUUUUUUUUCUUUUUCGAAAAGGACAAUAAGCAAGUUGCUGCACUAAAAGUAAUGGGUGAUGAUGCUUGUCUAUAUAAAGUAUGAUUAUUGGGACCAAAAGGCACACCUCUAGAUGAUACAGGAGAACACACCUAUUUUCUUGAAUCAUUAUUCAAGGAUCUGAUGAAAUUAUAAUUGGAAAUGCCACAUCACUUUGAGAGGUUAUGUGUAGUUUGAAUUGUUUUUUUUUUUUUGGGCUUUGUUUUAUUCUGUUUCAUCCUUAGUUGAGAAAAUCUCUGAAAACAAAUUAAAGGAUCUUUAUGAGUUGAGGAAAUUGUUAAAUGCCAAAUUGGCAUACUGAAUAAUGACAAUUUUUUACUGUUUACAGUACCUAUCCAAUUUUCCCCUAAUAUUUUAUUCUUGAAACUAGGGGACUAAGGAAAAGUUGAAUGGGUAUUAUAUUAUAAGACUAAUAAUAAAUAAGAAAAAUCGUUUAAAACGUCUCUCAUAUUUUAUAAAAUGAUUUUUUUCGUCCCUCACUUUUAAAAGUGUACUUUUAUGUCCCUUACAAAUUUACAUUGAUUAAAUUUGGUCCCUCUCUAAGUUUCCGACUAAUUUUUGAUUGGAAUCUACUACGUGCCUUGCACGUGAUAUUUUUGAAGGGCAAUAUUAUCAAAUCAAAAUUUACAUAAUUCGAUUCAUAAUCCCUCAUAUUUCAUAAAAUGAAUUUUUUUUGUCCCUUGCAUUUCACAAAAUAAAUUGUUUCAUCUCCCACAUUUCACAAAAUGAAUUUUUUCAUUCCUAAAAAAUGAUCGGAUUAUGUAAGGGACUAUAGAUCGGAUUAUGUAAAUUUUAAUUUGAUAAUUUUGCCCCUAAAAAAUGAUCACAUGCAAGGCACAUGAUGAAUUCCGGCUAAAAAUUAGUCAGAAACUUAGGUAGGGACCAAAUUUGACCAAUGUGAAUUUAUAAGGGACGUAAAAAUACACUUUUAAAAGUAAGGGACGAAAAAAUUAUUUUAUAAAAUAUGAGGGACAUUUUGAAUGAUUUUCCCUAAUAAAUACUAUUCAACAUGUGUCCAUCACUAAAACUGAGUAUUCAAGUAGUCAAGUUAACAAAUUAAUUCAUGAGAUUAAAGCACCGUAGAUCAAGAUAUAGAGGAAAAAGAAGCACCAGGCUAAUUAGUUUUUAUAAUUUUAAUAACAUGACAAAUGCUGUAAAUAUUCAUGAAACUGUCUGAAAAUCAUAGAUAAAAAUUUUUUGAAUAAGGAAACAUGAUAAUGAUAGACUUGAAAAAAAUGAGUGACUAAUAUUGUCUCUAACUUUUAAAAUCGCACCGUCUGCUGCAUUCUUACUCCUUAGCUUUUUAUAUCUGACUCUAUCUUGAGAGAUUUUAUUUCUGUUUGCUAACUAAAAAGUUUCAAGAAUUUGUUCAUUUGCUUUUAACAGGAGUCUACUAUUAAUUCAAUAGCUAAGUGUCAAGGAGUAAUGGCUGUUAGUAACUUUCAAGAUAGUAAUAGUUCUGGUGGCUUUGCUAUAUAUCCUGGGCUGUGACAUUGUUGGAAGUGGCCAACUUCUUAUAUCUAGAGCUUAAUUACAUACGUUAAUUUCCUCAAAUUCCAUUCUCUGUCUAUAUAUAUAUAUAUAUAUAUAUAUAUAUAUAUAUAUAUAUAUUCUGAUAGACUCUUACAUAAUAUUCGCUCGGGAUCAAAAUCAUCUAUAAUCGCAGUUAUGAUUGCAGAGCGCUAUAUAUUGAUGACAAAAUUGGAUGAAUGCAAUUGAUUGUGGGCAUAAUAAAGUUCAAUGAAUGCCAAAAUUUGUUGUGAUUUUGCGCACUAUUAUUUCACUGUUUGCAUUUCUUGUUUUGACAUAUACAUUUGUCGUGAUAGUUCGUGUAAUUCAAUUAUAAUUGGUAAUUGUAGAGAUUUCGGGUCCAAAUUUCAUGUCAGGUUGGAGUUCGACUGAGAUUCACUUGUCAUGUGAGACUGUGCGCAGGUCUAUAAGCAACCUCACUAUGCAUCCAUGCAUAGCCUUGUAUUCAUAACAUAUCUUCGGAUGGUGAAGUAUUUUGAAAACAUGUUGAUAGAAAACAACUCCAUGUAUAUUUUUCCAUAACGUUUUUACUCCAGGUACAUAUCUGUUUCAAAAGUGAUGUGAGAAAAUGUUCAUAAGACAACAGAAAGACCACCACCUAAUAGGAAGUCUCAUAACACACUGGAUAAACUUAAAUUUCAUUAUGCACUCUUUUUUUUUUUUUUGAGGAUUAUUAUGCACUCAUUAGUGUUGAAGCGACCGAUACCUGAGUGAAUGGACGCUAAUUUCUUUCUCACAAAUCGAGUAAAUCAAGGUACAAAGUGUCUGAGCCUCCUAGUACGUCCUAUAGUAAAUUGAAAUUCAACCUAUUUUACGUUGCUUUAAGAUAUUAGAGGCAUUAUUCAUGCAUGCUUCCCUGCUUUGCUUUGUUCUAACUAAGGUUUGUAUUUUGUCUAUAGGACUGCAGUAUUCGGGGAUUUCCAGAACACUGGGAAGGGAGCAAAUGGAAGGCAGCGGGUGCCAUGGAUGAAAUAUUUCACUUCUUGAGAGGCCUAAUCUUUUCUUGGUAGACGUGUUGUUCAACAUGUAUUUUGGAUAAACUUGUCCUAAAAGAAUAGUGUAUCUUUGGUUCUCGAACCAAUUGCUGACCUGCUUUUGGUUUUAGCUUUUUUUUUUUUUUUUUUGACAAGGGAACUUGUAGCUGUUUCUUAGAGAGUGUGUAUUAGGUAAAUUCUAUCCCAUGCAAUAGCCCGUCAACUAUACGAAAUCAAACUACAUGAAGGGUAAUAUACACUAGACAAGUCCUGUGCGAUGGACGGAUGUUCCAAGAGAAGCUAGAAUUUGAAUUGGCAGGAAGAUAUGACACCAAUUCUACCAUCUUGAUCAAUUCUAAGGGACAUGGUUUUAGCCGGUGGUUGAUAAAGCGAAAGCAAUCUCGUCUGCUUCCUCGCAACUAAGAAAAUCAUGGGCUUUUCAUACAUUUCAUACAAGAUAUGCAGCAAUAUAUACAUGAUAAUGUAGUUUAUAUAUUUUUGUAUCAUGUGCAAUGCGCAUCCAACUCAUAUAAAUUUCACGUGAAUUAUCAAAUUGCAAUCUCUUUUUAGUAGUCAUUUAAACAUGUGUAUAAUAAUAUUCGAAACAUUUUUUUUGUUUUAUUUCAUUUUUUUCUGUAUUUUUUGUUAGAUUUGAAGAUUAAUAGCCUAUCUACUUUAAUUUACAUCCACGUACGGUAUGAUAAAAAUGAGGCAGAGAUUUUACAAAAGCGCAAGGGCUAAAUUGGCUCGCACGAAACAAAAACUGAAGGACCGCAUAAAUUUACACCAAACUGUAUUUGAAUUUGAAUUGGUAACACUAUCCUCAGAGAAGUAUGGUGGCAAAAUACAUUUUAGUGUAUAUAAGAAAGACAAACUAAAAUAAUGUUGGCAUAAAUUUGUUACAAUGCCAUAACUAAGUACACAACUUACCACAAGAAGACUUCCUUCAAAAUUCUUAAUAAUUAAUUAAAAGCCAAACUCUAUUCAUGCUAUUUUUCUCCCUUUUCUCCAGCAAGCAUUCAGAUUUCAGCCACUGUUUUCUGUGGUACGUUCCCUAAACCCCUAUAUCCACCUCAAUCCUGUGCAGUGAAUAAUAGGGACAUCAAAUAUACAUACAUUGAAUAUCACGUUCUUUCUUAGAUGUCAAGACAUCCUUAAAAAAUUUAAAACCACUUAUAUUCUUCUUCUCAGAUUUUUUUUUUAAGCAGGAAAAAGAUAAGAUUUAAAAAGUGAUGACUUCUAAUCCCUUAGGCCUCAACCUAUAGUUUUACUAAAAAUAAAGCAAAAAAGAAAAGAACGCACUAACCCUUCAGUUGCUCGACUUAAUAAUAGUAUUUCAAAUUUUUACAUCAAUAUAUUCUGCAAGAAUUUUUUAUAUAUUUGUAGACAUGUUGAUAUAUCAUCUCAUGUAAGAUAAAUUCGAGAAAAUCCAUUACAACACAUUGCAUAAUUAAUGAGUUGGAAAGGAAAAAAAACAUGAUAACGUCUUAUCAAUAACUGAACUAGAAGAUCUCAAACACUUAAAAGCCAUUGUAUUAAAAGCAGUUCCCUAAACUCUAAUGUAAUUCUUUAAUUUAUUGCACGUCAUCUCUACAUUAAUAUUCCAAUUUUUCUUAACAAAAAUGAAUAUACGUAUAUAAAUAUCUACUUGAAGGCUGUUUCUUUUUCUUGUAACCUCCUACAAAUUCAGACCCUUUUCUGCUUCCUUACCAGACAAAUCCCAGAUCAUGGAUUUAAGAAACUCUAGUACCUUUGCUGUGGUUUUCUUGAUGUUUUUCUUUUGGCGUAAUAUCGUAGUUAAUGCUUCUAGGGGUGGUGUUGGACCUGAGCUUAUAACAUGGUCCGACGUAAGUUUUGCACAUACCCAGUCUUAUGAACCGUUUGUGGAAGUUGAUCUGAAUGGAAAGGGCAACUUUACUUCAGUGCAAGCUGCAAUCGACAAGGUUCGAACAGACAAUAUUAACAGAUUCAAAAUUUACAUACAUCCAGGAAUCUAUAGGUAUGCACAUGUAGUGACAACUCCUUCAAUAAUUAUUUUUUAUGGAUUUGUCUGUCGGAUACUCCAUGAAUACUCGAUAAGUUUACUCUGUAGUGCUUUCACGCUUGCUGGUGACAAUCACGGCAUGCAAUUUAUGGUUUAAAUCGAGUCUAGUUUGGCUUGAUCUAAGCCAUUUGUUACAUUUUUUUUAAAAUACUUUUUGUUUCAAUAUGAAGGGGCUUAGAUGUUAACUUGUGAAAAUAAAUAAAAUUAUAUUGAGAAAGUAUCUAAGUGCAAGAUAGUAGUAAAUGUGAGCAAUGUGUCUCUAAAUGAUAAAUUAGGUGUCAUAUAGCUGUAUUAAAUGUGAGGAUACUAUUCGGGAAAUUCAUCCCUAAUUUCCCUGAUCAUAUCUAACUAGAAGAAUAAGUGAAUAUUGAUUCUAAAAAUAUUUGAAAUUAACAAUAAUUUCAAAGUGCUACAUGAAUAAUUUCAUUUAAAUCGUAUAUCACAAAACCUGUUUCUGGAAUAUCCACCCAUUAAUUGCUAUUUUGGUGUAGGGAAAAGGUGACUAAGGACUAUAUUACUUUAAUUGGAGUCGAUGAUGGACAAUCUAAAACAGUUAUUACUUGGAACGACUCAGUAACAGUCAUCGUUGAAGCCAGUUACGUUGUUGCCACCAACAUCACAUUUGAGGUAUAUAGCCUUGGGCCUUAGCACUAAAAGUACAAAACUAAUUAAAGUUUCUUACAUGCCAUUUGGGUAUUGUAAAAUUAUUGAUUGGAAGAAAAGGUUGAGCAGAUUUCUUUUUUGCUCUCAACAUUAUUUGCAGCACGAUUAAAGUUAGCUUUGUGUCACUUUUUCUAUGAAAGUGUAAUUUUUUUUUUUUAAAUGUUAUGUAUAGUCCAAUGGUAAGUGAUAAUCAAAGAAUUUUGCAAGUGUCAAAUCUUAUUGUAAGUUUAUAACAUUUGUUUUUCUUAAUGUUUGAGGGCAUAGAAUAGAAAAUUUCUUCUUUAUUAUCUUUUUAUUUUUCAGCAGGAUAGUACUGGAAUUUAAGAGGCAAGAGAAAUAGAAGGGAGGUUUUGAACCUAGAACCUCUUAAAAAAAAUUCAGUUACAAAUACAUGUCUUGUUUUCUAUGAAUUCAUCGCAUAGUGACACUAAUUCUUUUUUCAUGAUAUUGUAGAAUACAGGUGUUUCUCCCCCUGGAAACACUCGGAAUAAAGAAGUUGCUGCACUCAAAAUAACAGGCGACAAAAAUUUUUGCUAUAAAGUACGACUACUAGGAAACCAGGGCACAGUUUUGGUUGACAAUGGAAAACACUAUUUUCUUGAAUCUUUUUUUUUUUUUUCCGGAAACGUUAGAUGGAAUUUUAUAUAAACUGAACUUUACAAUAUUUGAGCAACAGCUCAAGCAACUUUACAAAGUGUACCAUGACACUUAAGGAGCAACAAAAGUUAUCUCCUCAUCCAUGCAUAUGCUUAGAGCAUAAAGGCUAAUUUGAUUACACUGAGUCAUACUACUACUAUUCCUUACAGCAAAGGAGCACAUUUGAAACAGUUUAGUUGGAACAAUUAUGUCUUCCACCAGCGUGACCAUGUUUGGAUUAUCUCCUGUCCCAGAAUUUAGCAAGGCUGUGAGAUGUUUGUUUGCAAUUAUGACUUUGAUCCUUUGCCAUCUCAGCUGUGUUGCUUUCAUUAGUGCCAUCCUCACUGCUAUAGCUUCAUCUUGAAUCAUUCAUCCAAGGAUCUGAUAAUAUCAUUGUGGGAAGUGCUACAUCACUGUAUGAAGUUAAGUAUUUGAUUUUCAUUAUUUCCUUAUCUUCCUUAUUAUAGUUUCUAUUCGACUUUCCUCUGGUGCAUAUUUUUAAAACUAUGGCACCACAAAUAUAGUUGGAUGGGUAGUGUAAGUAUAUAAUGAGUUAAUAUUAUUCAGCAUGUGUCGAUUCAAAACUUUAGAUGUACUCGAGAUAGGAUAUUGUUUGUUGAGAUUAAACCAAAUUAGAUUAUGCUACAAAAAGCAUGAAAAAAUGACAGGAAAGAAAUGCUACAUUAGUUUUAUAUCUGCUUUUUGUCUUGAGAAUUUUAUGUCUAUUUGCUAACCCUAAAGUUUCUUGCAAUUUGUUCAUUUGCUCAAAUAGGAGUCAACCAUCAAUUCAAUAGCCAAGGGUAAAGGAGUGAUAGCUGUUAACAACAGGGAUAAUCUUAAUACAACUGGAGGAUUUGCUUUCCUGGGAAGUAACGUUACUGGAACUGGCAAACUUCUCUUGUCUACAGCUUCUGGAAAGUAUUCUCGAGUAGUAGAUUCAUAUACCAAUUUGGACAAUGUCAUAGAUCCUCGAGGCUGGAGUGAUGGGAAUGAUCCGGCUAAACAAAAGUAAGCACGUUAAAUAAUUUUCUUAAUUCCAUGCCCUGUCUAAUAAAUCCAAGAAUCAAUAAAAUGGUAUCGAAUUAGAGAAAACUCUGACAUAGAUUUUCAGGGAAAUGUUUGGUCCUACAGUGGGUUCACCUGAGGUCCAUCUGUUAGGUAAACUGUAGUACACUCAGACCGGGUCUGUAAUAGAAUUUUACCUAAAUUAUUUUAGUGAACAUGUUUACGAAAAACUCUGAAAUAGGUUUUAGUCAUAUUUUUCCUUUUUAUUAGGCAUACGCAUUUAAUAAAAAUAUGCUACAGUAAACUUUUUUUUAUAAAACUACCAGGAAAAGAAGAGGAAAAAAAAGAGUAAAUCUUAUAUGCACUGAUAUUGUAUAAACUAUCACGGUUAGAUAUAUGACACAUAUUUAAAAUUUGAAUUUCAAGUUUAAAUUUCAUUAGUUAUCAUUCAUCCAAUACUAAUAGUUAGGGGUGAGCAAUUACGGUAAUUACCGAAUUACCGAUCGAAAUCGAUUUCAAUUUGGUAAUUCGAAUUCGGUAAUUCGGUAAUUCGGUCGGUAAAUCGGUGGUAUCGAAUUAGUAAGAAUCGAAUUAGGGUCGAAUUUGGUUUUGGGGUUUUUGAAUUCGGAUUUACCGAAUUCGAAUUGAAUUUUGUAAAACGGUAAAAUAUUUACUUUCCCAAUCAGAUUACGAUGUACCCUCAUUCUCCGCUGCCCAUUUAUGGUUUCAGCAGCCUGGAAUAUCCUCCUUGCCACCAUUAUCCAAUACUACCUGCCUCUUGUUUCACUCUUGGCCCUCUGCCAUACAACACUGCAAUGUUGAUGCAAGGGAAUUAUGUGCAAGCAGCAACUGGCUUUGAUAAUCAUCACCACAUCAGUCAACCAGCAAACCUCGUACUUCUUUCUCCGGCUGGGGAGUACGAGCAGAACAACACUAAUAAUACUGGUGGCUGGUUUCAAGAAUCUGAUUACCAGUUUUCAAAUAUCUUCAUGCGGAUUAGGAUUGAGCCAGAAGAAGAGACUGCAUUGGUUGAACUGAGUCAUGGGCAGGAGCCUACGGUGUUUGAUCUGUAUGAAGAUUCGAAUGCUGAUGUUGAAGAAUCGGAUGGCCCUGGAGAUGAUUGGCUGGAAGAAACCAUCUCCCAACAUCUGAAGACUAGAAGGUAUCAUACAACACCUGGUGUAAAACAGGCUGAGCGUGAAGAGGCUGAAAUUUGUGUGGUGUGCCUGAGUGAGUACGAGAACGAAGAGAUAUUGGCGACCCUUGCAGUUUUCUGGAAUUCGGUAAUUCGGUAUUUUUUUGUUUACCGAAUUGAAUUCGGGUUGAAUUCGAAUUCGGUAGUGUCUAAUUCGAAUGCGAAUUAGGUCGAAUAUUUCCAGAACCAUUUACCGAAAAUUACCGAUUUCAACCUACCGAAUUACCGAAUUCGAAUUCGAUGCUCACCCCUACUAAUAGUGCAUAAAAGACUAAUCCAAAAAGAAAUAUCUAAAAGGGUAAAAAGCAUUAAUCCAAAAAGAAAUAUCUAAAAGGGAACUUGUGCUGUUGUGCACUUGGACAAGCUGCUUCUUCUCUAGCAAGAUAUUACUUUGAUUGUGAUCUAGUGACAAAUUAGGCAUUCUUAGUACAAUAAUGGCCUCAUUCUGUUUAAGAAGUUGCAUUAAUGUGCACACUUUCGAAACACAUAGAUCCUAAGUUAGUUUUCACAAAUUGGAUAAAUCAAGGUGUGCCAAGUGUCUAAACCUUUGCAUUGUAACAAAGUGAAAUUCAUAUUAUUUUAACAAAGUUUGAUCUAAUGUACUAGAGGCAUUCAUGCAUUCUAACCAUUAUUCUAACAAAGGUUUUUGUUUUUUUUUAUAGGACUCUAAUUUUGGAGAGUUCAAGAACACUGGAAAAUAGCAGACAGGAGUCACCGGGUGCCAUGGGCAAAAUAUUUCACUCCCUCAGAUGCCUUGCCUUUUCUCAGUAGAAAUUUUAUUAAUGGAAAUGAGUGGCUGGACUUGGACUAAUCAGACUAAUUAAUUAAAAUGGUAUACUCCCAGAUGGAUACAGGCAAUAUAAUUAAUAAAUGAAAAGAAAAAAAAUAGUGUAUGCCAUUUGGUGUUUCUGUUAUCUUUAUGAUCAUCGUUAUUGUUAUCAUUUUAUUCUUUGCAUCCAUCCCAACUGUUAGGUACAGGAUUUCAACCCGAAACCUUGCAAUGGAAAAACCCUAGUCCAGUGAUAUUGGUUUUUCCAUCAAUUAAUUGCAAAUAAGAUAACAAUGAUCAAAAGAGCGAUAUGCCCAAAAGAGAAAAGAAAAAUUAUAAAGUAUUCCAUGUGAUAAAGAUCAAGUUUCACAAUAUGCAUAGAUUGCUAAUCUAUAUGGUUCCUGUUUAGCAUUAGUCAACAUUCAGGAAAAAUGAUCCAUACUCAUUGUUGUUAAUAAGAGAUGGAUAUUGUAGGUUUUCGGGUGGUUUCCAAUGGCGCUUUCUUUGGUUUAUGAACCAAUUGUUUAUCUGCUUUUGGUCUAAACCUGUUGAUGAAGCCAAAGCUAUCUUGUCUGCUUCCUGCACGACAAUCAUGAGUUUUCCACAUAUUUUACACAAAAUAUGCAGGAAAAUAUACAUCAUAGUAAUGGUAUAUGAUGACACAGAUACUUCUGUUUGUGUGUGGGGAACAGGUGUGAGAAUCAAAGGUCGAAAAUUAAGCAGUUAGAACUUAGGGGUUCUUCACAGUGAUUCCUUGUUAUUGUUUUUCUAACUUUAUCUGAGGAAUUACUACAAAAUGCGGCAUAAUUGAAUUAUGCUGAUAACUAUCCAAUAUGCGUCCAACUUUUAUUCAUAUAAACUUCACAUGAAUUGGCAAAUGGCUUUUUCUCUUGUAGUCAAUUACAAGUUGUAUAAUGAUAUUGUUGUAUGAAAAUUAAUAUUUGCACAGCCUUUUUAGUUUAUCGAAUAUCCUUUAAAGUUUUGUUAAUCAAGAAGACUAACAGCCCAACAUUUCUUGGUUAGGAGAAAAUGAGGAGGUAGACUAUGCAUGUUAACGGCUCAAAUUUUACCUAAUCUCAAUCUAGAUCAUCACAUUCUCAAUUGGUCUCGGUCUAAAUUUUUAUAUUAACCAAACACUAUUAGACCUACCCCUUACAAGAGAAAAAUGGUCCUCGAUAGGGUUUGAGUUUCUAUUAUCCAGACCCAUAAUUAGUUGAUAAUAUUUCAAGAGAUAUAGUUAGUUAAUAUUAUUUCAACACUUUUGUCCAUAAUUCUUCCACGCACUAUUCUUGAAUGUCAAUUUUGAGAACUUGAAAAUGGUAAUUUGGUUAUAAAUGUCUAAUAUCUUCGAAAUCCAUAUUUAUUAUUGCUUUUAAAAUUCCAAUUGAUAAUUGCGCAUCAUAGAAAUGCCCGUGAAUGUCAAAUAGGUACCUAGACUCUUGAGGAUUAGGGUUUUUUUUUUUUUUCAAACCAUGAUGAUCUAGGUUUGGAUCUAACAUGAAUACGCUAACCACUAACAUGCUUAAGGCAGACUUAAUGAGUUACUUAGCCUUAGAGCAAAUAAAAAUCAGAGAGGUGCUUGAGAAACUAAACAAGUUUUGUGGAAGUAAUAUUUCCUAUAUGUAUCUAUAAGUACAUAUUUGUCUGUCUGUGCAGAUUGUGGGUGUGUGUACAUGUGUUUGUAUCAAUGUAUACACAUGCAAAUAUAAUCGCAUGCAUAUGUCUCUGAAUUGAAUUUGCCUAGCUAAUGGUUACUUACAAAUUUAUAUAAGGGUUCGUCAAUUCAUUAUCGUCACUUUUUCUUGCAAAGGGUAAAUCUUUUUGAGACAAUCUACAUAAUUCAGGGUGUGGGUCAUAAUUUUAAAAGUCUAAUAGUUGAGGCUUUUUCCACUUCUUGAUUGCUAAUCUUAAGACUUAGGGCACCAAAUAGAUAAAAAACUUAAGAAAAUAUGCUUAAUUCAAAUUCUUAUGGUUUUUUUUUUUGUCCAACUUACUCUUAUAGAAGUAACAUUAAUAAAUAUUGUAUUAAGGGUUUAAUCAUCAUAUUAAUGUAUUAAAAUUUAGAAAUAUUUACCGUGGGGUAAGGCCAAUCACAGUGAACUUUCCACCAAUUCAGCAGUAUCUGCCUGGCAUCUUUAGGUAGCUUUCCCUUUUUCUUCUUUGUGCAGAACUCAUGCCUUAGGGAACUUAUAUAACCACUAUAUUUCACUAAGAGCUUUUCCUUAAUUUCAUUAUUGACUUCAGCUGGCCCAUUAAAGCUUUUCUCUUGUAGAACCUCCACUUCACCACUGCUUCCAUCUUCAUUUGAAGACCUUGCUGCCUCAUCUAAUAACAUAACAAUAUAUUAAUAAUGACAAAUAAAGCAGAAAAGCCUGGUGGUGUUUUAGAAUCAUAAAAUAAUUAUGCACAAAUUUAAGAUAAACAGGACCCUCAAUCAAACAAUGUGCACAACAUUUUUGGAUUGGGGGGAGGGGAGUUUAUAAUUUUCACAAAUAUUAAGGGGUAUAAAUUUCAUUGGAUUCGGAAUGAUACUAUCCUGGAGGAAAUUUGAGAGUAAAAGCUUCCAGGUUGAUUACAACUUUUCUUCCUAAAAACUGCAGAUUUAAGCUUAAUAUAAUUGUGGAUGGUAUUAAGCAAAGAAAUAUGAAGAAUUUGACAGAAAUGUUCAUUUAUCAAACAUGAUUUAAUCAACAUUUAUAUUCGUUAAUGGCUAAAACUUUUGUAAGCGGAAUAUUACUCACUUAUUCUUUCUUGCUUCCUACUAAGAAAUUGUAAGAUAGAUCUGUUUGCACGUACUAGCUUUACAUUAUUAUCUUAUGUAAAAAUUUUAAGUUUGGAUGUGACAUAAUAACAAAUAAUAAUUUAAAUAAUGCAUGAUUUCUUUGUUAACAUAUUACCAACUAUAUUCUCAAAAAACUGUUUUCUUUUCCUUUUAUAUAGAGGCUAUAGAUUUGUCGAAUAUUUAACUGUUAAAUUCCACAACAAGUGAUUCAAGAUUUUUUGUGGUAUUUAGUUUAGAUGUGAAAAGAAAUUGAAAAAAAGACUAUAGCUAUUAAAGUCAUUCUUUAACUUCUUAAUUUAAAAGGUGUGAAGGACUUAAUUGUAGACGAUAAAAGUUAAUUUGAAUUGUACCUUUCUUGCUAUGAAAAUUAAGUACAGUCAUGAUCGUAUUUCUAUUAAAGCUGUUACUUGUCCAAGAAAAAGGUAUAAAUCUACAAGACAAUUUUGAAUUAUGUUAAUCACUCCCCUCUCAGAUCUGAUGGAGUCACAAAAAACUAAUUUUAGAGAAACAUAAUUGAUUCAAAGCUCUUCCUCUUACAUGAGAUGGAGUCAGAUAAGCUCUAUUUAAUUUAAAUGUAUGAAUAGUAAAAAAAAGGGACAAAUCUCAAAAGUUAUUUCAUUGAAAUUAGAAAGUCAAUUUGUCAAUUGAAAACUGAAUACUAAAAAAUGUUAAACUACCAUUUUGCCAAGACCUUUUGUGACGGACAAUACUCUCAAGGGAUAAUUUCAGAAACCUCCCUUGAGAUUUCUAAUAAUUUCACAAAGCUCCCCUUAAUAUUUCAAAAUUACACAUACCUCCCCUAGUGCUACAAAAGUACUCUACUACCCUAUAUAGGAUACUUAAUGACUUUUUUUUUUUUUUUGGAAAACUUUAGAAAUUCCAAGAAAAACCAAAAUUGACUUAUUCUAUCUUUCUCUCUCUCUCUCACACUUCCUCUUGUUUACCUUACUUUUCUUCCAUUUCCUUUUUUGCUAAAUUCUUGCUACCCAUUUCUCUCUGCCUAAUAUUCUUCCUCCAAUUCAAGACAAAAUUCUAUCUAUCAUCCCUUGCCCGUAUUUAUCCCCCUGCUUCCCUUCCCUUCUUCUUCUUCUUCUUCUUUUUUUUUAUCUCUAUUCUUAUCUCUUUUUUGCAAAUAUGAUUAGAUUCAUCCUUUUUAUCCUUUUACUUCUAAGUGUAAUGGGUUUGAUUUUUCUACGUCUAUUUAUUUUAUCCAAUGUUGGUUGAUUAUGGGUGAUAAAACUUAGUGAUGUCAAAAGUCAAGAAUUUGAGGGAUGGAUGGGUUUUAGAAAUGGGCGGUUGAAAAAAAAAAUAAAAGAGGCUGCAAAGAGAGAAAGACAAAAGAGUUGCGCUAUUGAUUGUUGAUGAAGUGUUGGAUUUGGGUAAAAUUUGAGGUCGAGUUUUAUCACCAAGUGACUGAUUUAAUCAACUUGUGUAGUAAAUGUAGGGGUUGAGGAUAUUGGACAUAAAUUAGGUUGUAGUGUUUUGAGUGCUAGAAUUAUUGGAAUUUAUUUUGAUUUAAAUUGGGGUGUUUGCUUGGCUUUUGUGGUGGCAUUGCUUGGAAAAGGGCAAUCAUCAUAGUUGAAUUUUUUUUGGCAGAAAGAGUUUGUUGGCUUUGGUGUUAGAAGAAAGACAAUCAACAGAGCUCUUUUUAUUUUUCCUUUUUAUCUUUUUGACAAAAAGGGUAGUUUAGGAUAUUUGAAGGAAUUGGUAGCCUAUUGAGCCUGCUUUGAAGCAUAAAUAAUAAAAGCAAGAGAUGUGAGUGUAAUUUUUGAAACCUAAGGGAGCUUCUUGAAAUUGUUAGAGGCCUCAAGGGAGGUUUCUAAAAUUAUCCCUACUCUUAAUUCAAGUAUUGAAGUAUAGAUAAAGACAUAUGUUGAACCCCACUCAAUUUAAAAAUACAAAAUAUUUAAAACAUGAAAUGUACAAAAAUUUUCAAGUGAUAUAUAGAUAACAUUUAAUUAACUUUAACCAAAUAUGGAAACUGUAAACUAUUAGAAAUUCAUCAUAAAUAAUUGCAGAAAUGGUAUUUAAUAGUAUUAUAGCACUUCAAAAUGAUCUUAUAGGUAGUCUAAUUAACUUCUUGCUAAAAAGGAUCUUAGGAAAGUUUCUAAGACUAUCAGGCUACACUAAAGUUUUGGAGUUGAAAGACCUAGACUAAUUAAUAGUCAAUUUCAUUAUUUAAGCUAGAUGAACAAAUUGGUCCGUGCAAUGAAGCUUGAAAACUUAGAAGUGACUUUUUUCAUGGAACAUUUCGAAGUACUUCUGGAGUUGAUGGAGCAGCGCUUCCCUUCGUCCAACAAGAUUAAUGAAUAAUAGUACAAAAAAUGUCUAGCUUUUAGUUAGCUAAAGUUAAUCAACAACGAACACAAUGAAAGCAGCCAGAUGUUAUUAUCUUUCUUUUUCUGUUUUAUAUUUAAUUCGUGCUAUCUGCAUCUAAGUUUAACUGUUUGUCAAAUUAAUUAUCUUGUCCGUAUCAUACAGAAACAAAAACAACCUAAAGCAAAAACGAUCGACAACAUAUUGUGGUUACCGAUCUUGCACCUAAUUUCACCAUCAAGAAUACAACUAAUUCAUUGUCACCUUAGAAAUUAGAGGUUCUGAAUUUGAAUUUUUCUGCCUCGUCCCUAUUUCUUAAGUCCCACACUUUUCUUGUUAGAAAAAAUUUAAAAAGAAUGACCCAUUGCACUUCAUUUCCAUCGGUUUUUGAGCCCAAACAAGAAAACAAUUAGAAACACAGUAAAUAGAGCACUAACAUGUAUAGGUUUCUCUUUUCACCCAAACUAUAUCACAAAAACCACUAACUAUGAAUUUCUCAGCGAAUUCAGAAAAGAAUCAAUAAAGCCAAAAAAAUAAAUGGAAGUUCAACAUGGAGAUAAAAUAUUGGGAUACUGAAGAUGUUCGAGUUAAAGGAUGGAAAAAGCAAAAAUCCUCUAGACAAAUCAAAUAGAGAUAUAAUACAUUUCCUCUUAUGCCUUUUCUAUGAAGCAUUCCAAUAGGAUAAAAAUUAAAAUUCAACUUAUCACAAACCAACAUAACAUGUAGAAGACCUGAAUAUAUUUUGAUAUACAAAUAUAGAUUUUACGAUUGGAGAAUCGUAAGAAAGGAAUCUUUAGUAUGAUCAAUUUACAAAAAGUUAGAUUUGUCUUACCAAAUGUGAGCCAACUAAAAUAGAAAGAGCGGGAAUCAAAUGUCAAUUUAAGGUUAAGUAUGGACUACACAUGAUAAAAUGAACAGCCUGAAGAACUACCAGUUUUUUUCUUUGGUCAAAGAAUACCUUUUCCUCGUUUAAAGAUAAUAAAAUUGCCCCAAAAAAUUAAUUAUUAUAUCCAUAAAAAAAAAUAAAAAAUAACUAUUCCUGAACAAGCAGCUACCCAAAAACGAAAGUAGCUUUGGGACCGUAUAUCAAUUGGUUAAAACAUAACUUGGGGACAUACUUAUCACAAAUGAACUUUGAGGUGUUAGAAAUUGUUAGAAUAUAGUAUGCACAAAUGCCCUAAAAGUAGUAUAUAGUGGAAUCAGUCAAUCAAACAUGAACUAAAACAUUGCAGCCAAACUUUGAAUACAUCUAGGGAGAAUGCACCUGAAAUCAGCUUUUCUCUCAGAUGAUGCUAAAUGUAGUUUGAGGCCAUACUAUAUCAGCAAGCCAAGUACAUUUGGCAACAUUAUUUUACUAGAAACAAAGUGAUACAACGUAAAAGAAAAAAAAGCCCAAGCAAUCAGAAGGAGGAAUGGAUGCCAUUGGAAGACAAAAAUCAUACAGCCAACACAUAUGAACGUGAUGUUUUGGAAACACAACUCUUUGUUACUUUGAUUUUGCCAUCAUCUCACGUGCCCUUAAGCAAGAUUCCAAUGGCUGUGAACUUUACUCCUAAGUACUUGAUCGCAAUGAAAAUGAAUUAAAAACUUAGAAAAGAGAUUUGCUUUCAGUUUAGGUUUUAGUUCCCACAUUAGAAAGCGUGCCCAACUGUUUCCAAGAGUCACUUUUUUCUGAUUUCACUUUGGCCGGAGGAGAUCACCUACAUAUUAAAACCUUAAAUACAGCCUAACAUAUUAUUGCUGCAUUAGAGGAUAAGAUAAUCUUCAUAUCUUUUACAUAUUCUCAUUGAAAAGCUGCUAAGCAUCCUAAAAUACUUACAUGGCUAACCAGAUCUCAGUUAACUGUCAAAUAGGAGGAAGAGUAUCUGAAUACAGAAUCCGUUCAUGUUUUGAACAUUUUCAUCAUUAUCCAAUACGUUAUUGAAAAUCAAUUUUUGGAACAGAAUACAAGUUACAGUCUGGCCAUGCCAUUAACAUCGUUAUUUGUGCCAAUGGGACUUGUUUAGCAACUAAAAAAUUUAUAUUGAUUUACUUAAUUUUUCAAAAAUUUGAUGGUACCAUGUCAAAAUUUUCAUUCAAAACUAGGCUUUAAAAUUCGAAAUUUUGUAAGUUAAAGAGUAUGUGUAAUACGAUUAUGCGAACACUAACAAGUUUGACUUGAAUUCUGACAAGGGCAAUAACAGUAGUGGGAUUGGAGGAAUACUUAAAAGAAGUAUAUAUUGAGAGAGGAGAUGAAGGGCUUAAAUGUGAACCCCUUUUUUCUCUUCCUUCUCUCUCUUUGAGAGUAUGAAAAAAGCCCAUAUAUCACAAAAAAUUGAAAUUGCAUUAGUUUUAAUUUGUAAUGAAUAAUAGUUGAUUCUUUGAGGCUUUUUGACCUUUCCUCUUACAGAAAAGCUGAAGAAAAUAGGCUACUUCUCCGCGUACAUUUGAUGCCAGGAUAGAAAGGUUUCCUUCCACAUCAAGGAUUAGGCUUAAGUGCUAUAACUAAGCAGUCUAUUUAUGAUUAAGACUCUGAAACAUGAAAAAUUGUCCACCAAGAAGUUGGAGUUUAUUUCUUUCAAUUUGAUCUCCGCAAGAAGAAGUGACCCCGAAGAACUAGUACAGAAAUACAACACUGCAAAAGAGAAAGAUGGUUUCCUUCCAGUGCCACUGUACCAUCCCUCAACCCCACAAGUGCACAAACUCUUCUAGCCAAUGAACUCUUUGCCAGGUUUAUGACGCUCAAGGUUUGCCAGUUAGUAAAUGCUCUAUAGUACUACAAAUUGUUUUCCAACUUCCACUCUUUCCAGCAAACAAGAAUAUAAGGUACAACCAAAACCUUAUGAAACAGCCACUAGCAUUAUUUAAGCCAUAAACACAGCAAGCCUCCAUGCUGUUUUCUAUAUAUAACCAAACAGAACCACUACUUGCUUUAAAAAAAAAUGGUGCUACUAGUUUCUAGGGUUUUUGGAACUAGAAAUUACUGUUUGAUGGUACAUGAAUGUUAUUUGCAAUCCUCUUAAUCCUUUCUUAUGUAAAUUCUCCAUCUAGUUCUUUGGAUUUUUUCUUAGAUUUCCGGACCUGACAACAAAAUUUUCUACUCUUCCUAUCCAAUGUGUGCUCUAAUAAGUAUGCAUGAAAGACUUAUUUUAAAGAAUCCAUAAGCACAAAAACCAAUGAACACAAUUUUUACAACUCUGUUCAUUUUCCGAGAAAAGCACAGCAUGUAAUAAUACUUUUUUAGUAGUAUAAGACUGAGAGUGAAGGAGAGAAAGUAACCAAGCAUUCUGGGAGUAUUGUUGCAGAGAUUGCUCAGCUGACUUUCCAUAUUGGUUAAGAACUUGCUUGCUUCAUCAUAAGGCUUUUCAAGAUCCAGCUUAUACUUGCUCAACACAUCACAGUAAGUUUCCUUCAUCAUGAAAAAAAGAAAAAUAAUACAAGAUCAAUAGUAAGGUAGCAAACUCGAGAACUAGACUGAUUACUAAGGCAAAUAAGUAGUAAAACGAGAAAAAAGAAGACCAUGAACUCAUCAAGCUCAGGAUCGUCAUUGACGCAAUAUGUUCCUGUGUUGUUUAUGGAAAGUUGAUUUUCUUGGAGUAUUUCAUCCAAAAACAUGGCUAUCUCAGGUGGUGCUCCGACCUGGAAAGUAAAACGACAUAAUUCUAUGAAUCCACAUGCGCAGAAGAAUUUCAAGAUUGAUUUGUAAUUUAAAAAAAAAAAAAGAAAAAAGAAUACAAAGUCUCUCAGCAUAAAGUUAGAGCAAUAUACAAAAUAAGAAGCAUGAGACAAGGAAGAAGUAGGUUGUUUUAGUUGCACAACUCCAUUCGGUCUUCCCAAGCUAAGAUCCAUAAACAAAAGAAAAAGAAACCCUAAAUGACCUGCAGCGAAUUGAUCAUCUUAUUGGGUCUGAAACUCCAUCUUUGCUACAAAGUACCAGAAAAUUAGUUAACAUGAUGUCUCAAACUCUGUUCUUCUUUAUUUGUUCAUCCAGAAUAAUCGCACAGAAGUUCAUUAAACACCUAAAAACAGUGUGAAAGCUGCAGCAAUCAUAAACACAUAGAGAUUCCAGUCUUCAAGUGAUAAAGGCUUCUGUCGAGGAACAUCUAGUUCAUAUGUGCAAAGUUUACACUUUAUACCUUCUGGCAAUCGAUAUAAGCCUCGAGAAGUUUAGUAUACAAUGGAUGGGAAGAGAUGCUUGCUUUCAUUGCACUAAAGCUCUCUUCCUGCGAAGAGGAUGAUCCAGUUCCAGUAGUACUACUCCUCUUAAUGGAAUUACAAGUAAUAGCUCCUGCAGCAUCUGGUGAUGCUGAUGAAUCGAAUAGAGCUGAAGACCAUGAAGCCCCAAAAGCCUCAAAAUCGUCUUCUUUCAGAGAUGCAGCAAUUGGAGGCUGACAAGUAGAAGGGUUGCCUUCUGUACUAGUAGUAUUACUGGAGGGCAAUCCAUACAUAUCCUCCAUUGCUUUUAAAUUGUGAUGAAGAAGAUCAGUAAACUGCUGGAGAUAUGCUGAUCUUGGGUUGGAGAGAUCAGUGUCAAAAUGUAAAAGCAAUUGCAGAGAGGGAGUUAGGAAGUGCACUGUUGGAGUGUUUAAUUCUAGCGUACAAACUAGUAGGAAGGUGAAAACAGCAGCAGCACCUGAAAAAAAAGGUACUUUCAAGGAAUCUUACUUUUGGUUUAGUGGAACUUUGGACGUGUGCAAUGCUAAGGUUACCCUCCAUUGAUGCGCGUUUUCUUCAUGAGAUGUGGAGUUUCCUAGGAAUGGCAAAUGGUAGGGUAAAACCGGCAUGGAUAGCCCAAUUCCAAGUUAUCUAUUAGGAUUUGGUACUGAGAAGUGCGUGCUUAUGCAUGCACAAUUUUAUGAUCGGAGAUCAAAAAAAGAAUAAAGGAUUUUUUCUUCUAAAGCAUUCUUAGAUCAUUUUGUUCUUAUUCCAUUUUGAUCAUUUGGACACGACCUUUGAAGUGAUACACUUUCUAAACUAUAUGUGAUAGGAUUAUUAAAUCAUGGUUUUAACUUCUAUUUUUACACUAAUGAAAUGUUUUAAUUUUGAUUUACAAAAUUUUUUAGUAAAAUUUUUUAUACACUGUCAGUACAUAAUUUUUUUUACACUAACAUGUUUAGACCAAUACCACAUAAUAUGAAUUCAAAUUUAUAAUUCAAAUCAUGCAUAUGUGGCAUACAUUCAUAACUACUAGUGUAAAAAAAUUACUACACUAUUAGUGUAUAAAAAUUUAAUCACAAAUUUUAAUUUACUAUAGUUAGUUUCUAUGGUUUUUGAACUUUUUAGAUGUUUGUAUCGUGGUUUCAUGAACGAUUUAAUAAGUUUAAUUAGCGGUUAGAUGUACCCAAUAGUUAAUUUGAAUAGGCAAGCAAGAGGGUUUAGUAGUAGAAAUUAAACCAUGUGUUACCAGCUGAUAGGACUGGUAAGACACUUAUUUAAGCGGGUAAUGAUUUGAUAAAAGGAAUUUUAGAGGAUAUCUUACCUAAUGCAUCCUAGAGUUUCCUAAUUUGUGAUCUUCAAAUAGAGCAGUUCUAUGGUCUCUAUCUUAAAAAGAAAAAAAAAUCCAAUCUAGCAUGAAACAAAGAGUACUGUCAUUAGAAUGACAAUGAUUUUUAAAAAAUACUGGAAAUAAGUAUGACUUUUCCAAACUAUUCCUAUAAAUAAUCUUUAUAAAUACUGGAAAUAAGUUUGAGACCCUAGGAUUUAGAGUUUUGGUAACAAGUUCCUCUCUCCUCUCCCCGUUUCUUAAAUCUCAUUUUUUCCUUGCUAGAAAUUGUCAAAAAAGAAAGUAUGAAUUUUCUGAACUAUCCUUAUAAAUACUCUUAGGUUUUCACACAAUGGACUAGAAUUUAGAACCCAUUUGCAUUGUGGUACUUUAAGUGAAAAAGCACUUUUGGGUGCUAAAAGUACUUUUGACGUCUUUGGUGAAUGUCAUCAGAUAAAAUUAGGAAUAGUGUUUUGGUAUUAAAACACUUUUAACAAAAACUCAAAUUUGCUACUUUUUGAAUGGCUUUUGCGUUUUAAGAAUAAAUAAUUAAAUUUAACCAUUUUAUCCUAUAUUAUGAACUAAAUAAAGAGAUAAAUACAUUUAAAAAUUUUUAAAUUAUACAUUAUUCAAUAUAAUAAGUAUUUAUUGAAUUAUGUACCCAAAUAAUAUACUUAAAAGUACCUAAACAUUUAAUAAGCACUUUCAUUAAAAAUUCUAUUGAAAAAGCACUUUUUAAUAAGUCACUGCAACUCCAAACUGGCCCUUAACAUCGAGUAAAAUUUUAAUAUACACUCCCAUGUGAAAUGUGUCCAUUAAUAUCAAAUAAUCUUUAUUUAAAUUUCAACUGUCUCUUUACAAAUGUGGUAUGUUUCUGUACCUGUUAGUGUGAAAUAAAAAAUCCCCUAUAAACAUUAAUCCAAACUGUUAAUGAAUGGGUAAGGGGCCUAAGGGCAAAAUCGUAUUCCAAAAUUCUAAGCAUGAAUCCACGGGCACCAAAGCAAAUAACCAAACUGUACAUGCGAAAACACAGGGAAGCAUCCAAGCGUAUAUUGGGCGCAUUAGAUCCUUCCGAUACAAAAGGGUUAAUCUUAAGAAGUCCUCCCAAGGUUUGGUGUAUUUUGCAGUUUAUCCCCUGAUAUAUUUUUUUUUUCACUUUGUCCUAUUAACUAGUAGUCAAAAUAAACACUUUGUAACGGUGCUGAUAGUUGAUAUUUAAAGAACAAUUGCUAUCCCUAAAAAUAUAAUGAACAUACAUAAGUACCCAUAGGUUUGGGUCAUAUAUAACACAUAUUUCUGUUCCAUUGCGUAAAAUUUCGAACCUAUCACUUUGAAAUAAUUACAUGCAUAAUGAUUCUACACAAAAUAAUUUUCAUAUUUCAAAUUAUUUUUCUAAAAAGUACAAAACAAUAAUUAGUCUAUCAUAAAAAUCAAACCUUAUAACUUGAAUAUCUAAGAAAUCUCCUUCCGGGAUUUUUUGAUGUCGAAGAUCUUCUCAAGGUGCCAUUUUUCCACAUCCACAAGAUUUUAGGUUUGGUUCUUCAAAUUGACGUGAUGAAAAACAUUUAGAAGAACGCAAAUAAAUGUAUUUGAAGAAACUUGGAACUUUUUUUUUCUAUUUUAGUUGCAAAUGUUAGGGUUGACGGAGAGAAAUUUUUUUGAUAUGAUGAAUGCUCAAAAUAUAUUAAAAAAACUUCUGGGCAUCGCUUCUUUAUAGAACAUGAAGAGUGCCAUUUUCUUCAGAAAUUUUAACGAUUAAAAUGUGGGAUAUUUUCGUCAACUGCAAUGUUUUAAUGGUCCAUUUGCUGUGGUGGACUGACAGAAGAGAUAAAAUGAGGGAAAAAAAUGUUAAGGGUUAAACUGCAAAACUUACCAAACUUUAAGGGGGAUUCUUGUGAUUAACCCGACACAAAAUUGUGCAUUUGCGCGCACAAUUGUUGUCAGCAGUUUAGUUAGCUCUUCGUUUGAAAAGCCUAUGUAAUGCUGGUUAUUGUGUCAUUUAAAAGUUUUGUAUAUAUUAAUAAUUUUUCAAAGCUUUUGAUCAAUAUGCACUAAUGCAGAAGUAUAUUAUAUCUGUACCAUUGACUUCAGUUCAUGCCAUUGCUAUCAAUAAUUGGCUUCAACAUAUAAUAUAUUUCCUCUGCCGACAAUGUAUUCUUAUAGGGAUACAUACUUUACUUUUUUCAAUUAGAAAUGAUAAAUAACACUAACAGCCGUUUUGAGAAAUUUUCGCAAUAUAUAGUUGGAUCAACAAAAAAAAUUGAUUAUUUGUUACAGACAACAUAUUUCACUGGAUGCUAAUUCAGUAAAUUACAUCAUGAAAGAUCUAACACCUCUGACCAAUAUUGUCUCACAGUUGACCGCCUCCGUUGAGCCAUGGAUUUUGUUCCUGGAGGUGGGUGAAAUCACAACAGAUUAGGAGCCCAAACCCGCAGGUCAUGAAGCCCCGCACCCCUCCAAAAGGUUUCAACGUGGGAUCGUUACGGAAGACGUAUUUGUAAUAUUUUAAGUUCUUAUAGAAUAAAACGUGCAAGAAAUGUAUUAUCCAUUGGACUAAAAAACAAAUUUACAUAGACGGUUAUAAUUCUUCAAGUCUACAAAAGCCCUUUUUUCUUUUUUGGUAAGCAAUUAUAAGAUAUAAUUUUCAUUGAUUUCCAUGGGGACAGGGGGCAUAAUACUUUAUUCAUCAUUCCGCUUUCUUGGUUACUGUUAAAGAUCUUUGUUACUUUUUGUCCCCUUUCGGCUUUCUCCUUGCCAACAAUUCAAUUAUAAAGUACAUGCCCAUACAUUAGAUUCAAUAGUAAUUCAAACAGUGAGAGAUUGAAUUUUUUUUUUUAAUUGUCUAUAGGAAGGGUAUAAGUUUGGGAAAUUUGGAAAUGUACAGUGGAGUAGUACUGUUUAUAACUAGUAAAUAAACUAACACUAUAAGUAAGGUCGCAUGUUUAUCUUGUAUGUGCAUCUAAGAUUACUAAUAUAUAUGCACAUACUCAUUCACACGUAGUCAAGUCUAUAUUUAUUGUACAGGCGUGCGCAUACAUACAUACAUAUAUAUAUAUAUAUAUAUAUGAAUUCUAAUAUACAUAUUCAGAUGUAAACUUAUUUUUUAACCAAAGUACAAAUUUAUGUUCAGCACACUCAUAUGUGCAUAUUUGUAUAUGUGCAAAUAUCAAUUAAUAUUGUCACAUUAAGAUAUAUAUAUUUUUUAUUUAUUUAUAUUCAGCAAAGUGCAUAAUUUUAUCCAUUAAAUUGUCGAACAGUGAAUAUUGCUACGAGAGAAAUUCACAAACUCAUUAACUAUUUCAUUAGUGACCUAUAAUUACCCAUUCUCCACAGUUCACAAGUUUCCAAAAACUUUACACUACUUUUUAUCAAUGUUGAAUCUUCCAAUCCUAUAUCCCAAAAUUCUCCCUUUCUAAAUGGUUGAUAUAAUUGAACCAUAGAAUCAAACUAAUAAUAGCCAGACAGACAUGUUUUGGGGGCUUGUGCUCCUGAAAACCUACUUCACAAGUUGGCCAAUAUCUAGGCUCCACUGCACUCUGAUUCUUCAACAAGCUGCUGUUUUUGUUCAUAAUGAUAACCCUAAACUAUAAUAUACUUUAUGAAUUCCCUGUUUUAUGGCCCCCUUUUUAUUACUUUAAUUGCUCAGUGGAAAUUGCUUUUGUAAAUUGAUGAUAAAAAGGCAGGAUGACCAAGGUGCUAAUGCUUGCACGUUUGCUUAUCUUCUCUCCUAUUGUUUUAUGUUACUAAAAUUGCAUCAUUUGACGAAGCCCAUACAUUAUAUACAGUGAAACUUUCAUAUUCCUGGCUUCUAGUUGGCACAAGGGAUUUCUGAUGCUGUUUAUGUACUUUUUUUUUUUUUGAGACGACAACUAUUGUAUAACCUAAUCUAUUCUACACUAAGGGGGAGGGGGGCGGACCUAAGGAGGCCCAGGAAUAACCCGGAGAGGACUAAACCACCACCGGAUCAAACGGGCGCACAACACACCCGCCUGAAUUUUUUGAAACAAACCACUUAAAUGUGGCAUUUUUGGUGGAACCACCCCACCAAGCUAGGUGGUGGCCAUGGUUGAUGUACUUGGAGAUGUUCUUAUACCUCUUAUUCUUUCAUUGCUCAUCCUUUUUCCGGUUUAAAUUAAUGCCUUUUCCCUUUGUUAUAAUUAAUUUUCUAAUCUUGCUUUUCGUCCUGAAUUAAUGGAUUCUAGUUGACUUCACACGAUUGUACAACGAGGAAUGUUUUAAAAGACAAUUUGUAAUCAAUUAAGAGUUGUUCGUCAUAACAGAUUCCCAUCUAGUGACAUUUUUUGUCAAUGAUUCCUUUGAUAAACCAAUUAAACUAUCUCCCUUGAUGUCUAAUUGAACACCGUUUACUGGAUUGAUUUCAAGAAUUGUGCAAGUGAACCUUCCUGCGACCUACAAUUUAUUAAAAAAACAAAAAAAUCAGAUCGGUUUAUAGCAUUAACAUCAAACAAGGGAAAAUUCCCAAAACUUCAAGGGUUCUCGGAGGACGAAUACAGCCUUCAACUUUAUUUUCUUGAUACUUUUCACAAUGUGCACAGGACCUGAUUACAUUCCCAAAAUCGUACAUCUUCCAUGUUGAAAAUGGCAAGAUUAUAUUGUAACUUUAGAGAUACCUUUCAAUCACUAAUUGCAUUCUCUCAUAACCAAACAAUCUCAUGAUUUUACGAGCCAGCUUGAUUAGCUUGCACCGUUAGUAGUAUGGUUUUAUUGUAUGGAACAAGUUUUGGCUGUGAUUUCCUAGUGAUGAGUUUUAAUCUCAUGCAUAAAAAUAUAAAAUGGCUAAAUGAAUUUAAUAAUCCCUCAAUUUUUACCUAUGAGUCUUAUUUGGUCCCUCAACUUCUCAAAGUAUCUAUUACGUCCUCCUUCGAUCUAUAAAUUCGACUUGAGCAAAUUGCGCAAAAUGUCAAUAAAUUAUUGUAAUGUGCUAUUUUUAGUUACUAAACUUUUUUGUUAAUCAAAAAUAUCACUAAACUAAUAAAUCUAUACCAUUUCGGUCACUGGGUCUAUUUAUGUCGCUGGAAGAGACGAAAAGUAAUUUUUUGAGAGGUAAUUUCGUCUGCACUGUCGUUAACAAUUUUGUACCCUCAUUAUUUUUUCACCCACAACCACAAACCACCUACCAACGUUGCCACCCACCGCGAUCACCCCAUCCUCCACUUUCCUCCCUCUUGCUUUUUCUUUCUUCUUCCCCCCACCUCCCUCUUCCUUCCCUCCCCUCCUCUCUCUUCCUCCCUCUUCCCCUGCCUCCUCUCUUCUCUUUUCUCCCCUCCUGCUCGAACCCCAUUCCCUCCCAUUUUUUAUCCUGACCAGAGCUCGAGCUGCGACCUCCAUUCCAAACUCACCGAAGAACAACAACAUAUGGCACAAUCCUGAUGCCAUUCGGACGCAGAGGCACUAGUCUCGAGUACGACACAUGUGCUAAAGGGCAAAUCAAGGAAGGCCUCAGCACUUGAUGCCCAUGGCUGGAGAUGUUCAACUUCCACUCAAUUUGACUUCCCACUAGCUUCCACAAAGCGUUGCCCCAAUCAAAAUGAAUGUGGCGUUAUUUAGGACAAUCUAAGCCAUUAUAGAGCUCUUGAUUCUCUUCCUCAGCCUGCUCUAGCACCCGAUCUCGCUAAUUGUGUGUAUAGUAAUAAUGGCAGCCUGGGUUUUCUUGUACUUCCUUCACGACGAACCGUUGAUGAUUUUUGGCCGUUUGAUCAAUGAUCGGGUGGUGCUAAUGAGGAAGAAAGGAGAGAAAGAGGGAGAGGGAGGAGAGAGGAGGAGGGGGCAGUGGUGUGGUUGGGGUGGUGGUGGUGUUGUUUAUUUUAUUUUCAAAAAUUAUCCUAAAAUAAAUCCUCAAAAACUAUAAUUCACAUGUUUUAUUGCAAUUUCAGAAUAUGGAUUAUGCGGUUUUGUAUCUCAUUUGAAAGUAUUGUAUGCAAGUUAGUUUUAUUUUAGACAAAAUUACUUCUCAAAAAGUUACUUUCCGUUUCUCCCCAUAAAUAGAUGGAGUGAUCUAAACGGUUCAGAUUUACUAGUUCAACUAGUUUUGUACCCAUUCGUUGAAUGAGAAUCAUUUAAAAAUAAUAAAGUAUUUAGUGUAGUUCAUAAAAAUAUUUGCAUAAAAUACAAACUUAUUGUAUAAUCUAUUAUAACCUUUCUUAAAUACAUUACUAUGUGAACAUUGUUAUUCAAAAAUAGUCUUAUAAUGUAAAUUUAAAUAUCUAAUUCAGUGAUUAAUAAUUCAAAAAUGCAUAAAAAAAUUCAACGAUAUGAUAACAUUCAAAAACUUGAAAACAGGCAAGAUCAAAUAUUGGGUGAUCUUCUAUAAACAAAAGAAUGGCCAACCCGUUACCAAAACAUCAAUUUUGGUACUUAAUAUAAAUGACUUAAAGGUUAAUGUGAAAAUAAAAGAAGCCGAAUAAAGUAUUAAUAAAAGAUCAGAAUUCAGAAUCAAUCAAAUCAUAGGAACACAACAACCUUCUAAAUCUGUUCACGGCUAAUAAAAGCAAAACGAAAACAUAAGAUGUAUAUUGCUCUUAAGUCAAAAAUAUAAAAAAUCUAAAUAGUCUGAUUUGUAUUGCAUGAUGUGAACUGCUGUAUGACAAUAAACUUGAUGCUUUGUCAUUUAUGUAAUCAGUGACACCUUCUUGUUCCUUAGAAGCUUUCUACCAAAGUCUAAAAAAAAACAUUGAAAACUGCACAAAAUUUUUUUAACCCCAGAAACCUAGAAAAUAAAAAAAAAAUUAGUACAUUGUUGAAGACAAUUAAUAAAUUGUCAAAGGCAAUUAAAAAAUCGUGUGAAAACACAUAGUUUAAAAGGCUACUUUUAAAUCACUAACCAAAAAGCAAUAUGUGUUCUACUUGAAUUAAAGAGUGAAUCCAAAAAUUGAAAUAACAAAUUAAUUACAAAAACCUUGCCCGAAAUAAAAACCAAACUAUAACUUUUGAAGACUUAGAAAAUUCAAAUUCAAUGACCUAACUAUGAAGAAGGUGUAGGAAAUUACAGACCACAUACAGCGAGCAUAAACAAAAUCCAAAUGCAGUUCUUGCAUUGAAGGGAAUAAAAACGAAGUUCCAAAUCUGGUCCUUGCAUUGAAGUAAAAAAAAAAAAAAAACUUUCCAAAAAAAUUGGUGGAAAAGUGUAAACAUUUUCACUGCUUGAUAAAGUGAUAAGCAAUAGAUCGAGAACCAUAUAUAUGAAUAAAAAUGUAGAGCAUCUGCGAUAGCGAUAAUCUGAUAAAGAUAAUCUAAUAUUUGAAUUGAUAUUUCGAACUUUUGAGUUGAAAAUGAGAGAGAGUUAAAAACAUAAUUCAAAAUUAUUUAUACUAAUCCCCAAGAAAUUUAGGCUUGACGAUUAGGGUUAAUGAAAAAAAAAAGGUGAAAGAAUGGAAGAGAUAAUUAUGGAAGGAUUAUCUAGAAUUGUAAAGGCAAGAGAAAAAAUAGGGAUGGAAUAGCGUAGGUUAUUAGGGGGUUAACUCAUAAAGCGCGUUGCACCUACUUGCCCUGUCGUUAAGCCACGUAGGAAAGAGACAAAAUAAAAGGAUAAGGAUGAGAAUACAACUUUAUUAUAUAUAUAUAUGAUAAUAUUUUUAGCUAAUAAAAAAGUUUAGCGACUAAAAGCGGUACAUUGCAAUAGUUUAGUGACAUUUCGAGUAAUUUGCUCAUUCGACUCUAAAUAGUCCCUUUAAACCUAGUUUAAGUAUAAUAAUUUUUACUUUGUCCCCUGAGGUAUGAUCUCAUGUUUAUUUUCCUUGUCUAAGUUUGAAAAUAAGGCAUGUUAGCCCCCUUUGAUAGUUUUAGUUGAGUAUCUAAAUGGUUAACCAAUUUAACUAACAACAAAUGGCAACAUUAUCCUUCUGACAAUUUAAUAAACAAAAAAAAUCAAAAAAUUACUCAUUACCAAAUGUCAAGCUUAAUAAAUACCUUAUGCUUAUAAUAGAAAAAAAGUAAAAAAAAGAAAAAAUCAAAUAUGUACUUAAAUAUUUUGUACCACUAGAAAAUAAAUAAGCAAAAUUCUUUUUCUUUUUAUCUUUUGUUAACUUUUUAUCUUUUAGAUAAAUUAUCUUGACUAUAUUAAUACAUUAAUAUGAUUUUUUUAGUAAAAGUGUUAUUUUCCAUUGAAUAAAGAAAAAUAAGGUUGUAUAGCCGUUUACAUGAACUAAAACUAUUACUAUAAACUCUUCAAAAUAAGAAGUUUAAAAAAAAAGAAGAAGAAGUCAAUAACCGGAUCAACGCAUCACUCAAUAACCAGAUCCCAGUUCUCCUUUAUCCUUGGUAUCUUGUCCAAUGAAGUAACAGUAAGCCCAGUAACAUUUACAAUAGAAGUGACCACGUGCACUUUAGAUAGCUUGACUUGAUGAAAUGUGUUUAAAAGAUAAAAAGCAAAAAAAAAAAAACUAUCUUAUGUUUAAUUUUUGUACUUUUUCUUACUCAAAUUAGGCUAAAGAUUAUUUUAAUGCACUUUGUUUUUUAUUUAAUGCACUUUGUUUUUUAUUGAUUAUACUUUAAAUCAAAUAGUAAUGACGAGGAGGACAACAAUAACAAUAAAUACAGUUAACAAAACUUUCUAAGUAUAAUGUAAUACUGAGAUUGUUAUUAUUGAAGAAAAUUUUUAAAAUUUUUAUUUUAUGUAAAUUGUUAGAGGAUAAUUCAUUAUAACUUUUUUUUAGCCAAAAAAAUUAACUACAACUAUGAAAAAUGGCUAUUUUAGGAGAGAAAAAUAGAGAUAAAAUUAAACUUCAGGGGGCAAAGUGAAAUUUAUCAUGCUUAAAUAUGAAUUGGAGGAACCCUUUAGAACCGAAUAUAACAUUUGAGGGCCAUAAUGAAAUCAUAAUAAGGUCGUAUACAAAUCUCCGUAAAACAUCUUUGUUUUUGUUUCCUUUACACAAUAUCUUGUGAAGGAAAUUCGCCAAAGCUUUACCUACUAGAUCUUGCUCCUCAGUCCCUUGUAUUUGAUUUGGUAGGUUCUAGCACCUUAUAAAUUAAUCAACAGGUAAUGCAUAAAAUACUUUCCUGAUUACACAUUAAGGAUUCAAACUUUUAUAAUCGUACUUAAAGUUAGAGAAUAUAUAGCGGUGCACCUUUCUGAUUUAGACGUAUGUUUUUCUCCCUUUAAUUUCUCUUCAUCUAGUUAGAAUCUCUUCUAUUAUAUGUUAGCUUCGAAAUAGUGUAAAUACUGUGGAUUGAAUGUUAGCUCCAUUUGGAAUAGCUUCUAUAUAUUGAAGAACAGACCGGAUCGGUCAAUUCGAUGGGUCAAAUAGCGAAUCGAUUAUGCCUUUGGGCCGAUUCAAUAAAUAACCCAAAGAAUCAUUGACCCGAUCAAACCAGGUCAAGAACCGAUUGAACCGAUAAAAAUCGAAAAAUUCAAUUGAUUUUUAUUAAAUUUUAUUUUCUAAAAUAAAUAUUUUAGUUUUAUUCAAAAUUAUUAAUACUAAAAUAAAUAAAAAAAAAUUAUUCAAUCUUUGAACCGGAGUUAAACUGAUUAAAUUGGGUGAAUCGCGAAUUGAAAAGUUUUCCGAUUCAUUCUCCAAUUCGAGUCUAAACACAUUGCAAAAAGGUCAACCCAUUUGUCGUUUUGGCCUUGAGAAAGAAGAGAAGGUUAUAGUAGGAGAUUCUGCGAAUUGACCCUUUCUCACCUCUUUUGCAUUGGAGAGGAGGUAUGGGCUCUUGAAAAAUGGGCCUGAAUGUUUGAUGUUUCGCAUUUUCUUCAAAAACCAAAUUAGGCUUCAGUAAACAAAUCACGUGAACCAUUUUUCUUCAAACCGGGAAUAGGAACGGCAGCAGAGCGCCCGGGGUCCCAUCUUAUUAGUCCGGACAAAUUACGUAACAAGUCUAAUAAUGUCUAGGAUCAAUGAAAUGCCGUUAAUUGGACACAUAAGUACCUUCUCAUUUAAAUUGUAUUUAAUUUGAAAUAAUGGACUACACAAUCCUUUUGAAACAUUUUUAACGGUCAAAUAUCAACUAAUAGACUUGCUAAGUAGAAGGACUAAAAAAUGGAUUAACUUAGUCGAUACUCGAAUUGAGUUCGACUUGAUGAGAGAUUGUUUCGCUAACUAAUUAAGCCAAAUUUGAAUAACAUUUUGUAUUGUAUAACUUUCAAAUUCGAUAAAAAUUUCGUUCAAACUUGAUUCUACAAUUAAAACAAUCUUUCAGCCUUACCAAAAUUUCAAACUUGAACAAAUUUUCAUAGUCGUUAAAAUAAUCAAACAAGUUUAAACAUUCGAAUAUUCGAUUUGAUUAGAUUUAUUCAUAGUUCUACCAAGUAAUGGUUUGGACCGACUUAAAAUUUCUCCCCUACCACUCCUAUGAUCCUAUCCCUAUUCCCAGUCCACUUCGGGGAGCAAAGGCAUUGAUUUUCAUUGCAUUUGAUUUGAAAAAUUUUAUCAACGGGUUGCGGACAUAUAGAGUUUCAAGAUAUUUAUUUAUUCUUAUUGGGAAGAAGUACUCCAAUAUACUAAAUUUAUAGAAGUUAGGCCUCACAUCAAAAGGUCCACAAAGUAAAGCCAAACAACUAGAGUACAUUCAUACAUAGCAGCAUCUACAAAUUUUCUGGGCACCUCACCCCAUUUUAGUCGUCCGAAAAUAUUUCCCUCCUCUCUUACGCUACCCACUUCUUCAAAUCCAUUUGUCAAAUAAUUUUUCUUUUUUAAUGGUCAAGCAAAGCCUUCAUUGGCAACAAAUUAAUCCGUUUAAUUAAAAUUAAUUGAAAGUAAUCUAGUUUUAGGAAUUGAAUUACUUUAAGUUAUCUUCUUUCAAUGAUACGAUACAUAUUUGAUAGCCCAUCUACGAUGCAUGGAGUCUGUAUUAGAAAGUCUGAAUGGGAGCAUUUAACCCAACUUUUUUUCUUUUUUUUUUUUGGUUAAAGGAAUACUCCUAAUCUUAUAAAGUAGAAAGGGAAAGGUUUGAGAGUUAAUUCAGAGAUCAUACAAUCACUGAUUAUUAUCUCUAUUAACAUCUCGAUUCUAAGGACUCGAGAUAGCUUUUUUUACGUAUAUCCCUGGGGUAGCUUUCUACAUAUAGCUCUAACUAGUUCCAUUAAUUUUGUAUUUUGCAACCUACUUAAUUUCAUUCUUAAUUAGAGCAUUUCACCGAUGUUGUCUCUUUUUUUGACCAAAAAAAAUUGAAAAAAAAGGUUUGUUAUCCUGCCUCCAAAUGAGUCUAGAUGAAUAUAGAGUAAAUAAUUUCUAUAAAAACAUUUUUGCACAAUAACUUUUGUUAAGGGUUUGAGCACGGAUACAUUGCCAAUUCCUGAAAAUAAGUGGGAGUUUAUUCGUCAAAGGUUCAUAAGGCUAAUCAAUAAUUAUAUUAAAAAAUAUAUAUCUUAUGAGAUUCUAAUAGUAUUGCACUCCCUAUUUUUGUUACAACAGAAAAUCAAUCAAAUGUUUUAAUAAAGGUAGGGUCAAACUAUCAUUGAAGGUGAUUCUCUAUAUUAUAUACAUGAAAUUCACUUAUUUACUGGUACAAUUAUGAGAUUAUGCACUCAUAUUCAGCGAGUUGUGUCAUGGAUCGCGUGUCAGGUGAAUUAUUAGACUCACAAUUAGGUCUCACCCAAGCCAUCGAGCCCUAUCACACUUGUUAAUUAGCAGUGUCAAGGUCCGCCAUGUCUACAAAAGCACUUUUAUUCAGCUCGUUUAUCACGUUUAUUUUUUUUUUUUGGUCACUUGUCAUCAUCUACGUCUACACAUACUCUCAAUCCUAAUCUAACUUAUAUUAGGGGGUGACCCAACAGGGUCAUGGAAAACCGAUGGGAGGUCAAGGGUCGACACUACAGGUGAUGGCCAGCUCCACUAAAGGGAGUUGGUUUCGUUUAUCACGCUUACACGUUAAAUCAAUUUUCAAAACAGAAAAAUUGGAGCAUGCAACUAAUAUUUGGGGAAAUGGAGCCUUUUUUAUUCCAGUUCUGUUCAGUUAUAUAAAUUGAUUGACAAAAAGAUGAUGAGGGGUAUUUUUACUUUAGAUAAGUACAGUAUAGCUAAAAAGUAGUUUUGUAGGGCAAAAUAGUAAAAUUGUACUGUUAUUCAAUAUUAGAGGUAUUAUCCUAGAGAAAUAAUUUUUAUUUCAAGAUUUGUUAAUUUAACUUUUUAUACCCGUUAGACUAAAGUACCUUUCCCUAUUUACCAAUUGUUUCACUAACCAAUCUUAUAGAAAAAUAAAAGAAAGUUAGAAUAAUUAAAAACUAUUUUUACUUAUAAAAGUAAAUACAUUACAAAUAAGUUGUUUUGUACUCUAAAAUAGCAAAAUUGCACAGUCAAAAGUAAUUUGUUGCUCCUCAAUUUGGUAAUUCAAAUUCUUUUCAUCGUAAGACAACUAGACAACCUUUCCCUUUUUCAAAACAAUUUCACUUAUAAAUUAUGAAGAGAAGAAAAUUAGAGCGAUUCAAACAUUUUAAAUUUGAUGAUAGUAAAUGCAGGUCAAGAAAUCUUUUUGUAGGGCUAAAUAUUAAAAUUGUACCACCAUUAAACAGCAAACCGAGGUCCUCAAAAAAAUUUUCUUUAUUUCAUUGAUUUAGUCAUUUGGUUAUUUGUCUCCCAUUAUUUUGCACAAACAAUAUUUAAGUAAUAGUAAAAUUGGGGAUCCUGCAAGGCCACAAAAAAAAUUAAUUAAAAGAAAUAUUGUGAACGUUAUCAUGCUUCUUCUAAAACGAAUUUUGGUAAGGCUUUAAGCUCCAACUGGUGCUUUCCCUUAAACCCUAUAUGUUUCCAAGUGGUGGUUAGGAUUGAACGGAGUUAGGGAACACUCUUGUAGAUAGUCAUACUAGUCUAUGAGAUAAGAGGAGAUAAACAUUGGGGGAGAGAAAGAAACCAUGCAAAAGAAUAACAUAUGUGGGAAACUAAUGUUAAAUCUUUUUCUAGCAGAGAGGGAUGAAAUUUAUGAAACGACGGAAUUUUUUUUGCUAGCACGGGAGGAGUGAAAUUUAAGAAGUAAGAAAAGAGCAAGAUGAUUAAAAUCUAAAACUUAUAAUUUAUGAGAUUUCAAUUUUAAUAAUUUUAAUCAUUAGAUCAAAAUCUUCUUGAUCGGGAUAUGUCGGAAACCAGUCAACCAAGUUGCCAGUUUCAACUUUCAUCUAACGGCGCCGUCCCUAUUAACAGGCAGCGGCGCUAAGACUGUCCCCAAACUUUGUCCCGCCUAAAAAAAAAAAAAAAGAAACUACUUUUUUGAGUGUAAAAGGUCCUUAGAGCAUCCUUACCUCCAGUAUUCCAUAUUCCUUGUGCGUUUAAUGUUAUUGCCAAACAAAUUCAUCAUGAAUUCCCUAUUCUCUUCGUUAGGUUAGUCAAAAAAGUCCUAUAGUCUCAAUCAACUUUCCCGCAUAACGAACUUUAUGCUUUUUGAAUGUCUUUCUCACCUAAUCUAAUACUUAAAUUUAACUAGUGAUGAAGCAAUAUUACAAAUGGCAAAAAAAUGUGAAGAGUCGUCCGAUUUGAGAGAAGCCAAUGAAUGUAAUGGUGGGAAAGGAAAAACAAUAUCCAUCCAUUUGAGAUUUUUUUUUUUUUUUUAUGGAAUAAAACAUCAUAAUUUCAUUAAAAUAUGUACUAUUUACGGUAAUUGUAAUUUCAAGAACAUCUAUGCAUGCUUCCAAACAUAUAAAACUACAACAUAAAACUUGAAAAAAUAUUUCAAAAAUAUAAAAUAAAAUAAUCAUAAUGAUGUUACUAAGAUAAUUCCAUAUGGUUACAUACAAUAAGAACAAGAAGAAAGUUGCACAUUAAACUUGCCACGACUGAACCAGAUAUCUGGCUAAGCCAUUGUAUGCUUCUAACUCAAACUUUACAACAUCAGCAGGUACUCCCCUUUGAUCGAGUUCUUCCUGCAAAUACCCUUGCUCAUUAGAAAGUUUAUCAUCUACAGUCUAGAGAUGGCAAACAUCAUAGUUGUAUUUCCUAAUAAACGGAUUGUAGAGACUGUUUUGUGUUUCUCUAUCUUUCUUUUCUGUUACCUUCCGACAGCAUUUUGUUCUGGAUUUCUGCAGAAGCUUUAUCUUCCAGUUCCUGGCCCCGAGUCCUAUGCAUUCGAUUCUGCAGGUCGAGGACCAUACGCAAGCCUUGCAGAUGGAAGGGUUUUCAGAUAUCUAGGGCCUGCCGUUGGCUUUGUCGAGUAUGGAUACACCAAAGCAGAUAGGCAAGAAUUCUUUCUCCUUUGCACAAUUUUUUUCAUAUCUUCCAGGGUUUGUAGCGGUGCAUUCAUUUCUUUAAGAGUAGAAAGUUUGAAAGUUUUUGCAAAAGCUGACAAAUUGACGAGAGAUACACCUCAAAAUGAAUCGUUUGUUUUCCGCACCUAAUAUAUAUAAUCAGUGAUCUUUCUACUUUCGAAAAUUAUCUAGGCCUAGGCGCUUUUGUGAUGGCACUAAUAGAACGGAUAUAUCACAAAUCUGUGGGAGGCCAACGGGCUUGGGGUUGUACUACAAGACUGGUGAGCUCUUCCUGGGAGAUGCUGAUCUAGGCCUUGUUGUCAUACCGUCUGGAGGAGGUCCUGGAAUUCAACUUGCCUCCAGUGCAGAGGGAGUGAGAUUUGGCUUCCCUGAUGGCCUUGAAGUUGAUCAAGCAACUGGAAUGGUCUACUUUACUGAUGCAAGUUCCCGCUACAAUCUCAGGUUUGCCAAGACAAUCUAACCUUUUUUUUUUUAAUUGGCAAGUUCUGUAUGCAGGGGAGGGAUAUCAACCCUGAUUUUAUACUUUUCCUGAAUUUUGAUUCAAAACAUGUUUUCUUUGCAGUCAAAUUAAUAAUAUAGUUUCCAAUCGAGAUGCAACGGGAAGGUUACUAAAGUACGAUCCAAGAACGAAAAACGUUACGGUGUUGCUCAGGGGACUUUCAGGGGCAGCUGGGGUGGCAAUCAGUGAGGAUGGCUCAUAUCUUCUUGUUACGCAAUUUGUGAUAGGGCAAGUUUCGAAGUAUUGGUUGAAGGGUCCGCUGGCAAAUACAGCAGAAGUUUUGGUAAACAUGACAGGAAUGCCGGAUAAGAUCAAGAGGAACACUAAGGGAGAGUAUUGGAUUGCAGUAACUGUUACAAGCAAAAAUUCAACACAACUUCAAGGACAAAGGAUCGAUGGAGAUGGAAAUAUCUUGGAAACACUAACAUUUAGCCCUGAUUUUGAUUCGUCAUUGAUCACAGAAGUUCAAGAGUAUAAGGGUGCACUAUAUUUAGCUUCUCUAUAUGUUGGAUAUGUCGGGGUAUACAGGUGAUUUCCGUAUAAUGUCAAGGUUCCAUAAGAGGGGAAUUAGAUAUGGAUGUUAAGUUGGAUCGAUCCUCUGUAUAUGUGACAUCUUGUAAUGCCAUUUGAGCUGAAAUCUGUAAUAAGACUAUUUUAGUGAAUAAAUUUCAUACCAAUUAAUAAUUACUUGGUCUUUUUCUUUAUUUCAAGAGAAUAUCGAUAAGAAUCAUAAUGGCACUGCACAGAUACUGUGAUUUUGAACAUUAUAAGUAAUAUAAAUUUAAACUAUACUAUUGUAUAACGUCUAAGAUUUUAAAAAACACUUUUGAGUAUCUAAUUUAUAGGCGGUGAAAUACUUCAUAUUCAAGAAUAACAUUAGGAGAUUUCGUUUAGUGUUUCUUUUAUAAUAUUCUUUUUUAAAUGGGAGAUCUUGAACCGGAAUCUCAUACUCGUAAUUCUUCGAAACUUACCGUCCAAAUCCAACUCUUCUCAAAUAGUUUAGGUUGUAUUAUGUUACAAUCGACGGUGCUCCUUUUUUUUGUUCCUACUGCAAUUAAUAGUUGAAAGAUAUCUAUAACUCCCAAACUUAUACCAUCUAUACCUCUGCUCUUUUCUUUUGAUAAACAAAGCUUCCAAUCCCCGCGUCAAAGUUUGCUGCAACGUAACAACACUGCCAGAAUCGUGACGGGACUUCUACCAAAGCUUUUAGCUUUGAUCAUUUGAUGAUUUUGACUUAACUGUUGGGGCUACAAUAAAGAAAAUUUAAACUAGAUUAGGCUGAUCAUCUUCUCAUUUAAUUUAUUAUCUGGGAGGACCACCAAUCAGUUGGUAGACUAUUUAUUCAAAAAUUGUAUACAUUUUGCCUCAUAUAUUUUGUACAUCAAUUAGUUGGUAGACUUUGUCUUCUCCUUUUUAAAUUCAUUUUAUAUUGUACCUCUUUCAAGUUUAGCCUACCGGGUUGUUCCAUGAAAAUGACUUAGGAAUCCUACAAUAAUUGGAAGACCAAAUUUUAUUUUCUUCAGUAUGUGUAUAGCUAGUAUAUAAUUGCAAACAAGCACCAAUGAAUUUGAUCAAGGAUCCUACUCAGGAUUAAGGGAAAAUGGAAAUCAAUUUGAAGCUGCCUAAGCAUGAUUAAGGAAAAAGGGAACUUGAUUAAGGCUUUAAAUCCCAUCCCAGGGAUCCUAAGUAUAAUUUCCCAAUAAUAUAUUCUUGAAAUUCACCAACCACGUUAUCAUUGAAUUGCAAGGUUUUCUAAAUUGGCUGUUGUUGCAUGACUGCCACAGCCACCCAAAAAAAUCAGGCACAGGUGUUCUUUUAAUAGGGCUUCGAGACUAAUUCAUAUUUACGAGGAGGUAGCCUUUGGACCAUCUAACCAAAAUUUUCCAAUUUUCGACUAGCAAUGAUUUAUACUCCUAAAUUUUGAACAAACUAAGGUUGCAUUUGAUAAAACUGAAGUCUGAAAUUUGAAAUUUGAAGUUUGAAUUCAUUAAAUUAUUGAAUUGUUAAAUAUUAAAUCUAAUACAUUUGAGUACAUAUCACAUUCAGUGAUAAGUGAAUAACUUAUCACUUAAUUUUGGGAGCAAGUUUUACUUAGAAAAUUAAGUGCCACUUAAUUAAUCCAGAUGUUCAACUUUUUAUUAUCAAACUGGAUGAAUAUGUUAAGAUCUGAAUUCAUUAAAUUUAAAUGCUGAAUUGAAUUAUCAAAGAGGGCCUAACUAUUGGAUAGAGCUUUUCUUCUAUAAUUACAAGAAAAUUAUUUACAUUGAUUAUUCUAAGGAGAAAUUUUAGAUUUUAUUUUUUCUGCUGACCAAAAUUUUCUGUGUCUUUGUUUUUGGUCACAUAGAAGUAAUUUGUUCUAAUCCAAGAGCAAACCAUCUUUUAUAACGGGUGCAAAUAAAACCUUAAGAAUAGUGAUAUUUUACGCCUCAAAAUCGUGAUCAACAGCAUGAAAUUUCUUGACUUCCCUCACCUACGUACAUGUGCUUCAGCUAAUUAUUCUACAAGUAGGUCGAAAGUUGAUUCUAGAAUGCGACCUCUUUUGAUAAUCAUCCAAAUCUCGCAUGAUACAGAGAUGUUCGCGGAAUUAUUUGGUUUGUCCCAUGUAAACUAUAACUCGAGAUUGACUUUAAAAAUAAUAAUAAUGACAAAAAGCAAAAAGCUACAACAUGCGAUAAUUAACACACACAUAAGUAUGCCUGUAUGCUGUAUAUUUUGUUUUUCUUUUUUUCCCUAUAAAAACUAUCUAAGGUCAAGUUUAUUCUAAAAUUAUUUUAUGUUUUGUGAAGGAAGUGCAUAAGUUUAUCAACUAAAAAAAAAAGAAAAAAAAAACCUGCCGGCCCCUUUCCGUUUUUUAAAUUUCACUCUUCCCCUACUAAAAAAUUUAAAAAAAAAUUAAAGAAAAAUGUAAACGUGAAUGUUGGUUUUAAGGGACAAAACAUUCUUUGAUGAGAAUAACUGACAUUUUCUCUUUUUUUUUUUUUUUCUAAACUUCAUGUUAUGGAGUUGGUAGAGGUUUAUAUACUAAAUUGUCUAGUACUCGAUAUUUCUUAGGGAUAAUUUCAGAAACCUCCCCGGAGGUUUUUGACAUUUACACUAACCUCCCCUGUGAUUUGAACAAUUACACUGACCUCCCCUGAGGUUACUAAUCCUUUACAAAUUUAGUCCAAAUGAUUAAAAUAUUGUUUUAGAGAGUGAAAUUAGAAUUUUGUACCUGAUUUGUCCUUUGUACUACAUGUCCAAUGAAUGACAAAGUAUUACAAAUUAAUGAAUAAUUAAUAAACUUUAAGGAGCGUAGUUUAUAGGUAAAUAUGUAUUACUUAUUUAAAGUACCAACUCUUUACGAGUAUUUUACUUUCAAACAUUUACUUUAUUACAAAUAUUUAUUCUCAAAUACAGAUUUGUAUUUACUCUCAAAUAUUUAAUUUUUGUUAAAUACAAAACCUACCAGUUUUUCUUCCAUAGAAAUAUUAAUAUAACACUUUUUCAAUUUUAGUUAUAAAUAUUUAUGUAUUUAACAUAAAUUAAAUGAUUCAGGAUAUAAUACUCAUAAAGAGCUAAUACUUUACUCAUGUAAUGGAUGAAAAUCAUAAAAAAUUAAUACUUUAUCGGCCAUUUCUUUUUUAAAAAAAUAUUUAAUUUAUAUUAAAUAGAUAACCUACUGAUUUUCUUUUUGCGAGAAUAUUACUGUAACACUUUUUAAUUUUUAAUUACAAACGUUAAUAUAUUUAUCAUAAAUUAAAUAUUUGAAAAUAAAAUAUCUGUAAAGAGUCGGUACUUUAAAUAGAUUAUGUGUAUUUGCCUAUAAACUAUACUCUUUAAAGGAAGGAGUGUAGUUUAUUGAUUUAAGUAAGGAGUGUAGUUUAUAGGCAAAUACACAUAACCUAUUUAAAGUACCGACUCUUUACAGAUAUUUUAUUUUCAAAUAUUUAAUUUAUGAUAAAUAUAUUAACGUUUGUAAUUAAAAAUUAAAAAGUGUUACAGUAAUAUUCUCUCAAAAAGAAAAUCAGUAGGUUAUCUAUUUGAUAUAAAUUAAAUAUUUUUUAAAAAAAGAAAUGGCCCAUAAAGUAUUAAUUGUUUAUGAUUUUCAUCCAUUACAUGAGUAAAGUAUUAGCUCUUUAUGAGUAUUUUAUCCUGAAUCAUUUAAUUUAUGCUAAAUACAUAAAUAUUUAUAACUAAAAUUGAAAAAGUGUUAUAUUAAUAUUUCUACGGAAGAAAAACUGGUAGGUUUUUUAUUUAACGAAAAUUAAAUAUUUGAGAGUAAAUACAAAUCUGUAUUUGAGAAUAAAUAUUUGUGAUAAAGUAAAUGUUUGAAAGUAAAAUAUCCGUAAAGAGUUGGUACUUUAAAUAAGUAAUACGUAUUUGCCUAUAAACUACGCUCCUUAAGUUUAUUAAUUAUUAAUUAAUUUGUAAUACUUUGUCAUUCAUUGGACAUGUAGCAUAAAUGGCAAAUCAGGUACAAAAUUCUAAUUUCACUUUCUAAAACAAUAUUUUAAUCAUUUGGACUGAAUUUAUAAAGGAUUAGUAACCUCAGGGGAGGUCAGUGUAAUUGUUCAAACCACAGGGGAGGUGAGUGUAAAUGUCAGAAACCUCAGGGGAGGUUUCUGAAAUUAUCCCUAUUUCUUAUUAGUCUUUUCUCACUUGGGAAAAAUGCAGUUUUGGUUGUCAUGUUUGGUCUGUAUACCAAACUGAUCCUUAACACUUUGACCAAAUCAAAACUGGUCCACAAAAAAAAAAAUCUUAGGCAAGUUUAUAAUAAUUGAUGGAAAUUUAACAAUCCUAAUGGUCAAAAUUAAAUUGCCAAAAGCUAAAAUUUUUUGUUUUACAAUUUUAGUCCCUCAGGUUUGAAAUUUGAAUAGCUGUACUUAAAUUUCAAAUAGUGAUCUCCAGAAAUUUAGGAUGAGAUGAGAUGAGAAUCAGAUUGAAAUUGAACUCAGAAUUCUAAUUAUAACCAAGAAACAACAAGUGAAAAAGCUAAUUAAACGAACAUUUUUGGAUUUAGUAUAGGAACUAAAUGCUGAGAUGGAGAGGAGAAGAUUCUUAAGGCAUCACUUGCAGACUACACUGUUAUCGGUUCUAUGCCCUGGUUGUUGAUGCGUGAUUUCAAUAUCGAUCAGCUACUGCUCUGAGAAAUUAGGAGGUACAGGAUAUGGUCUAUCUACCUGUAAUAUCUGAAUUCAGGGAAUGUCUUGAGUUUGUUGAUGUUGAUGACUUACCCAACCAAAAGAUAUCGCUUGACAUGGUGCAACAAACAAGAUGAAGAAGAUAGACUAUUAUAUUGCAAACUGAACAGAAUAAUGUGUAAUGAUGAAUGGCUUGCAGCUUUUUCUCUCAUUGAAGCUGCGUUUCUAGAUCCUUUAAUAUCUGACCAUAUUCCUGUAUUUGCCCAUAUUAAAGAUGAUCUCAAUGCAGGUCCCAAACCUUUUUAAUUUUAGAAGUACUUGGAUGGGGCAUGAUAAGUGAUAACUUGAUUUAACGUUCUAACUUAGCCAGGCAUGCAUAUUCAUAUUUGAAGGGGAUCCUGUGAAUGUGAUUUAUAGAAAGCUAAGUCUUUGAAAUUUGAACUGAGAACCUUAGAUAGAAGAAACUACAGCAACAUCUCCUUGAGAACUCAGAAAGCUAGAGAGGAGCUCUGUAGUACUCAACGAACAGCUGCUGAUUACCCCUCAUGAUGGAAUGCUUUAGGAAGCUAAAAGACGUUAUCAAUGUUGCUGUAUGCUGAAUUGGCUCAGGUAGAGGAGAGUUUUUACAAAGCAAAAUCCAGAAUUAGAAAGUUGCAAGAGAGGAAUGCAAAUACAGCAUUUUUUUUUUCAUAGGAAACUGAAAUUUCACUCUGCUCACAGGAAGAUCCUUACCUUGACUGACUCCAGGGGUAUUAAGCUGACAAAUUAUGAGGAUGUAAAGGCGGAAGCAGUUAGGUACUAUCAGACAUUAUUUAGAAAUCAAAGGCCAUAUUCUGAUAAUUUGGAAGCAAGGUUGAGUUCCAUUAUCCAGAAUAAACUUACGGCUGAGCAAGGGUGUAGUUUGGUCAAAGAUAUUACUAAUGCGGAAAUUCAUCAACACUCUGGUGUGACAGCUCCUGGACCUAAGGGUUAUACUGUGGAAUUUUUAAAAAGGAACUAUUCUCUUGUGGGACAAGAUGUGAUAAAUGUCGUUAGAUACUAUUAAUUUCUCCACCGGCACUGUGAGUAAUGAUCUAAAUAGCCCAAUUUCCUCCUCAGUGCUAAAAGUUGCUUCACCUGUGUGUUGUAACGUGUUGUACAAAGUUUACUCCAAAGUAUUGACAGAAAGAUUAAAUGGAGCGGUGGAUGGAGGGAUUUGAUAUAUGUGAGGGAAAAAGGUGAUAGGAAAAUGUGAUCCAAACACAACCUAAGUAUUCUAAAAAAUUUUUCUUGACCACUGGACCAAUCUCAAUGGUUACGUAUUUUCUUCUCUUAAUCAAAGUAUGAAAUUUGCACAAAACAACACCCUCAGUAGGGUUCUUCAAUUAUCAAAAAUUUCACCAACAGCUAUGAUAUCAUGGUUAUGCUUUCGUGAUAUAUUUUAUUUGAAUCAAAAGUAAUGCAAUCACUAGCCGUAGCCUAGUAGUUAUCCGAGUACUAGCUGACGAAACACCUUCAAGUUCAAGGCUUUUAUAGACAACAAGGGGAAUUUAACAAAAAUACGAGGGAGGCAACCGUAAUUAAUCUAAAAGCUCUUAUAAUAUGAAGCUACCCACGGGCGGACGACCCCCGCCAGUUUGAAAACCCGAAAGGACGAAACACGCAACCGCAACCAACAGUAAUUUCACCUCUCUUCAAUUGAAAAUGUUUGUUUUUUGUGGGCUAAUGAUUGCAUGAAAAUCAGUAAUUAUUGCUUAUGUUGUAUUCAGGUGAAUUGUUAAUCACAGUACAGGUUGAAGAGUUUUGGUUUUGGUUUCCGUGUAUGCCCGCAAGUUGUUUGACAAAAUGCUUAAGAGAAAGCUGAUCAGUUGUUCUUGUUUUUCCAUGCUAUAUUGAAAAUGAUUAGGUAAUAUAUGGAUGUCAAUCACUGUUAUUUGGAUGGUAAUGCGGAUGCUGUGGAGUUUUGUCCCCAUGACUCGUUUCAGCAUGUCCUCGCUGCCUCCACCUACACGCUAGAAGAAGGUGAUCAGCCUAAACGAUCUGGUAGCAUAUCACUUUUUGAUGUUGAUGCUGAGGUGGGUCGUCUUCAGUUGACUUACAGAGUGGAAACAGCUGGGAUUUUUGAUAUAAAAUGGAGCCCAGUAGGGGGAGAUGUUGUACCUUUUCUUGCUCAAGCUGAUGCUGAUGGUUACUUAAGGAUACAUCGACUUGAAUGUUGUGUGGAGAGCUCAGAAACAUCGGGUAUGCUUGAGACCAUUAUUGGUUGAUGUUCCAUUUUUCAAUUUGUCUCUUUAUUGUUGGUAACUUUAUGAAAUGUGAGACUGCCUCAUUUUCCUUAGUCUCGUACUUUUAGUAAAUUCUUAUGCUUCCCUCCUUGAUUUGUGUAACCUGUGGAUAUCAUUUUCCUACAAAAAAGGGAAACAAGGGAAGAACAAGAAUAUGAAGAUCCGACCUUUUCUGAGAUUGCUAUCUUUGCUGGUUCUUGGAUUGAAGGAAAAUGCAAGAAAUCUAUAUCGAAAAUGAACAAAAUGGACUUUGAAGAUUCCAGCCUUUUAUGUAUAAUUCUGCUGAGAUGUAUUGAUUAAAACAAAUGGUUAUGUACUGUCAUUAGAACAGUAAAUCACCUCCAACAGCAAAAGACUUCAUUUAAUAGAUGUGCUUUCUUUCAUAUUACCAUGAAAUUUAAUGGAUGUGCUUCUCAGAACUCUUUACUUGUCAUGCACAAAUUUUAAUUGGAUAUCGUUUCAUUUGCAACCUUGAAUUACAAAAUUAUGUUUAGAUGUUUAUAGAAGCCCGGUUUAUUUGCUAUCAAUGAUCUAAUAGGCUACUUCAGUAUACUCGUCGAAAAGGAAGAAGUUCCAGUACUUCUGUUUGAGUGUUAAUAUCUAAUUGCUACAAGGCAUCUGGCUCCGCAUGACCAUGAUGAGAAGACAAUUCUUUGUGCAUUUAAUGUGAUCUCAGAAUAUUUUCCUGGCAUGGGAUUCAAAGUAAUCCUGUUUUGAGUUUGAAUGCAAGAUAGGAUGUGUGAACCUCUGAAAGCUAAAUUUGUUAGUUGUUAUGUACUUCCAAGAUCCACAGUCACAGAAAAAGCUGGAGCUCAUUUGUCAACAGCACCAACCUUCCUGAUGGUUGGCUGCAUUUGAGUGCUUGUCACAAGGUUAUAUUAGUAGCACUGGGAGCUUUGCAUUUGAAUUCUGUUUCUAGGCUGGUAAAAGUUGAAAAAUGAGCAAUAUGAACAUAUGCGUUGCUUGAAUGCCAGCCAAAAAUCCAAAUGUUUCAUAUGUUUUUUUACUUCACUUAAGUUAAACAUAUGUGAUUUCCAGUUGAAAUUCCCUGGUUUCGUCAUCUUUAACUAUAUAAUCCAUCUUCUUUUGGGAUUUAUAGUUGUUCAUUGAUGCAGGAAAUUUUCUCAAAGAGUAUUGUUAUGAGCAUGUGAGUUCGUCCAUGUGCUUGUGUCUAGACUGGAAUCCUUCUGCCACCUCCAUCACUGUGGGACUUUCAGAUGGGUCAGUCUCAAUAAUUUCCCUCACAGAGUCGCAGCUGAGUACUGUACAAGAAUGGAAAGCACAUGACUUUGAGCUCUGGACUGCUUCCUUUGAUAUCCACCAACCGCAUCUUGUUUAUACUGGAUCAGAUGAUUGCAAAUUCAGUUGCUGGGAUCUGCGAGAUAGCCCUUCUAAAUUGGUAUUCCAGAAUACAAAAGUUCAUAAAAUGGGAGUUUGCUGUAUCACAAAGAGCCCACAUGAUGCUAAUAUUUUACUCACUGGUAGCUACGAUGAGAACUUAAGGAUAUGGGAUAUUAGAUCAAUCUCUAGACCGAUAAAUGAAUCUUCGAUUUGUUUAGGUGGAGGAGUUUGGAGAAUCAAGCAUCAUCCUUCUACGCCUGUGCUCAUUUUGACAGCGUGCAUGCAUAAUGGAUUCGGUGUUGUGAAAAUAGAUGGGGAUAAAGCAGAAUUAAUUGAAACAUAUCAGAAACAUGGUUCACUUGCAUAUGGUGCAGAUUGGCAGAGGGGGGAGCUACAUGCAGAAGCAAAGAGAAAGAAGUCACUUGUUGCCACUUGCUCAUUUUAUGACAAGCUCCUUCGCUUAUGGAUUCCUCAAGCUGAUGUUUAUCAAUGAUCUUAUGAAACCUGAUGCAUAGUAUCUGUGAAGAUUCCCAAGAGUUUAGUGUCUUCCCCCUUUUAUCUAUUGGGGUCGAUUAGUGGAGAUCAUUUCAACUGUCCUGUCUACAAGGAUGGGUAUUUCUGAUUCAAGCACUGUAUUCGUAAAUCAUAUUGAAACCGGAAUUUAGAUUAUGAAUUCAGAUGAUGAAAAUUAAGGUAUUUACAGUCACAGAGGAUCUUCUGGAAACUAGGACCAAAGGCAUCUGAAAUUGACAUUGGAUUUCUGCUCUUUGGUGCUUUGUCUUGUAUUAAGAGAGCCAUUCUAGCGCAGUUACAUUUAAUUACGCCCUGAUUCAUUUCCUGAAAAGGAAGUCGAACUGAAAAAUAAAACAUAGAAGAGCUGCCAUUGGAGUGAGGCAUGUUCAGGAUUUACCAUCUUGUUAUGGUGUGGGAAGCGGCAAAAGGAUCCAGUAACUCAGGAAGUAGAAUGGAUAAAGAGAGAGACUAUUGAUUGUUCGUCUUAAUUAUGAAUUGUCAUUUGUCAAGUGGACCGAGCACCUAUUGCUUGAGGACAUACUGAUUUACUUUAUGUGAUCACUUUGGUAAUUGGAUAUCUCCUGAAAAACUAGUGUUCUUUUGAGGUUUGCAAUAAUGAAAAGCUUCUAAAUUUACUUUGACAAGUUUGACUUCUAUAAUGCUUUGUGAAACUACUCUGCUUGAGGCAUAUGGGAUCUGUUAACAUUUGCAUUUGGCCCAUGUCUAGUAUGUUUGCUUACAACACAUUAGAGCUCAGUGCUAGUUUAGGCAGGUGUCACUUAUUCUUUCUUUCUCUUUCCCAUUUUAUCAACUGAAGUUCUAGGUUGUAUUCUGAACAAUAAUACAGAAGAAGAAUAAACUUGGUUAUCUUGGCAGUUGAGUCAGUCACAGUCAGGCAGACACAUAAUAUAUAAACCACAAAACUUCAGUAAGGACCAUGUGUUAGGUAUUGAGGAUGGCAGUACAUCUGAAUCAACCCUACAGAUUUACGGAUCAAUUUUUCAAACUUGCUUAUUGUAACUUCUUAAUUUCCAAGACAAUCCUCAGUAUUAUUAGCUCUGGGGUCCUAAGUUAGGUGUUGAACAAAACCCAAAUUCUUUGCUGGUCUUUUUUCCCCCCUCUCUUGUAGGUCAUUUCUUUAGCUGUAUGUAAAGGGCCUUGUAUUCUGAGUUUGUGCCACUACCUACUCACCCUUCAUUUCAUUUGGACUUGCAUUUGCUUUUGUCUUUUUAUUAAGGGUCACUUUUCUCAAUAGUAUUUUUUUUUGGUUAACACAGGGAGUAUCCCAAUUUUAUCGGACUAAUCUGCCUAUACUUGUGUACCUCCCAAAGGAGACACAAGUGUUAAGAGGAGUCGAACCCUUGACCUCGGGACUAAAUAGACUUCUCCGAAACCAUUUGAACCAACCCAAGGCUUCUCAAUAAGAUGAUGCUCUAUAAAAAAGGAUGUAAAUGGAAAUUGACAAGAAGAGAGAGAUUGUCGCUGGCUAUACAUUAGCCCCUCUUAAAGUACAAAAUGGAAGAACAAAUGAAAAAAGAGAUCUUUAUCAUUCAUAGUGAUGGUUGUGGUGACUGUUUUUGCGUAUGAUUUCUAUCCUCAAGCCUGACCUCAAAAACGUUAUCUCUAGGCACAGUUCCUCCUCUGACCUAUCUUUCCUUCUCAACCUAGCACACCUUUACAAUUGGUAUUAUUUAUAGAAAGGGGAGAAAAAGAACAUUAAAGGGCACUGAAAAGAGGAUAGAGAGGCAUCCUCCCAUCUCACAUUGCCCUUCUGAGCUAAUUUUAUAACAGAGAAACAUGCAAUUCACUGAAACAAAGUAUCACUUUCUUUGAAACCAACCUGAAUUUUAUGGGAAAGGAGAAGAUGGAAGGCAGUGAAAUGCCAUUUAUACUAAGAGAGGAAUUUAAACUUUCACUUGGAAAAGUUGAUUUUGAUCAUAUAAUGAUGGCCUAAGAAUAAAAUAAAAUCUUACUAGCUCGCAUUACAGUAACAAAUUGGUCGAAUUCAAUGUAAUUAUCCUCAGAUUUCCUUAAAACAAGAGAAUUUUAACAGCUUCAUUAGUAAACACCAGGAAUUUCCUGGGAUUAAAUGUGAUACACCUCGUGUUUCCUUAAAAAUGAAAAAGCAUAUAUACCUCAUGGAGAGAAAUGUUCAAGGGGAACAUACCAAAAAUGGUAGGUCUGCCAUAAAUUCAAACAGUUAAAAGUGGAGCAAAGUAGCAAACAGCUGCAAACCUUUGUUGCUUCAUGUCAGGGUAUUAUUACCACAUAACUCAUUGUUCUUUAAUCGUACAAGGUUUUAGGGACAAUAAAUACAGAGAAUGAGCUGGAUUAGUAGGGCCUUUGGGGUUAGGAUUUAUUGAUGCUGUACUCUAUGGUCUGGCAUGUAGCAGUAAUAGACUGAAUUUAAUAAAGAUUCCUAAGCCAAUAUGAUGGUUUGUGCACUGGAGGCCAUAAGCUGUAAAUGCACGUGAAAUUAGUACUUUUAUGGCCUACAAUAAGAGCAUAAAUAGCUUGGUGUCACAGGGUUCUAAGAACUUCUGUCUAAAAUGUACCAUACAUCUCCAUAUACAAAAUUAAUGUGUACGCAUCUAUUUGUUUAUAGUAUUGAUUCUAUAAUAUAGGAAGCUAUCGUAUCUGACAAAAAAAAAAGAGAUCGAUUCUAUACAUUUCCACUACACAGUAAUGUUGAAAUCAUAAGCAGAUUCUUGCUCUCUUGAAACUUCUCUUUUACUAAUAUAUUUAGGGCUUGUCUAACGGAUGUUUGACGGAAUACUUCAUUUAUCUUAACAUACAUAUGUAGUAUUUGUUUAAUAGAUGUCCAAUGAGUACCUUGUAAAAAUGGGUCUCAUGUGUUAAUUUUUUUAAUAUAAAUUUACGUAAUAUGUUAAAUAUAAAAUUACUGUAUUACUAACAAGUGCACAUUAAACGCAAGUUAUAAAAAAUAAAAAUGUGUCCAUGUGUAUUAUCAGUUGCCAGUCCGCCACUAGGCUGGUAAAGAUCCUGGCUUGAUCCCUCAUCAAGGUAUUAGUGAUGCACCAGCACUACACAUUUUAAAAUGUAACAUCAAAAAACAAAAAACAAAAGGGAAAAAAUGUAUACCUUACAAUAAACUCAAUAUUCUCUAAAAGAUAGUGAAUUAUAUUCAACAAUUAAAGACAAUUAUUUUACUAAUUUCUUCCAGAAUAAAAUGGCAAGAUCCUAUUAACUAACUAUCUUCACACUUCUGCAUAUCCUGUCGCCUUAUGACAUUUGUCAUAAUCAUUGUCCAUACAGCAGAAGAUUAUGCAACUCCUGUUGGCCACAACUCCACACUUUGUAUUGUACUGUCCCUCUCUACUAGUCCUAAACUUCAUCUGUCAAAUUUGCACCAAUUCUCUUUAUUUUUUUCGUUAAUUUUCUUGUUUGCUUUCUAUUUUUUUUCUUUCUUUCUCUUAUUUUAUUAGCUGUUGAUGGCUGCAGAGGCAUUUUCUUGAUUUUCUCAUAAUACUGAAAGCCUCUUGUCCUAUUUAUGGCUGUAUCAUUGACUUAUAGGUCUGCAUGAUUCCCUUUCUCUUUGGACUCUCUUCAUUUAUUUUCCACAUCUUAUUUCUUUCAGAAUCUCUCUCUCUCUCUCUCUCUCUGAUCUCUUAUCUAGACACACUAUACUAGACAGUGUUGCACUGUCAGUCUCAUGUGCACAAUCCUCAGCAGAACCUUCAUCAACCACUAAUCCCAUUUCUCCAAUCCUCUCUCUCUUACUUCAAUUAUUCAUUGCAGCUGCUAAUCUCACUCUCCUCCACACGCAGAAUGCACAUUGCUCAUAAUCGAAGUACAUCUUCCAGUUAACUGAGUUUUCAGUUCCUUUAGAGCUGAGGAGAGAAAAAACCUGUUGCAUGCAGAAAAAUGCAUUGUUGAGAUAUUCCUAAUGGUCCCUUUACUUGGUUUUUAACCAGCUUCAGUGAAGUACUAAGAAUGAUAAGCUUAAAGAACAUGUCAUCAUCAUCCUGGCUGGUUUUGCAGUUAUGGGUUAUUUUGCUCUUCGGUUUGGGAGCUGUGCGUGGUGAUUCAGAGGUUGCUGUCAAGUUGCAAAAGACUCCUCAUGCAGUAUCUAAAAGGGAUUAUGCAACAUUUCGUUUUGAAGUCGUGGUGAAUGGAGAAAGUUGCAGAGAAUGUAUUACAAACUGCAAGGUUAUUUGAUGCAUGCAAUGGUUAUUUGGAGCAUUGCCUAUGCAUUACUUCAUUGGCUUGCAACUAUGCAUAAUUUUGUUUAGGUUGAUGUGUGAAGAUGUUUCCUUUUAGUUUCCUUUAGUUAUUGGGAAUCUUAAUUGAUAAAAUUGGUUAAAGUAACAAACUUUUAUCAGCAUUUCAGAAAAGUAAACACAAUUGAGUACUACUUGUAGCAAUCUUUUGGUGGAUUUCUCUGCCUUCUCUUCAGAGGCAUUCUCUUUUGGUGUUGUUCCCUUUUGAGCUAGAGGUUUGGGAGGAAAAGAAGGACUGGGGAGAAAGUACUAAUUUUUUUUUCUUAGGAAAGAGAAGAGCAGAAAAGAAGAGAAUGGGGGUGAUCCAGUUGCAGCUACAGUUAUAGGAAGUCCACUCCAAAUUUGAAAGUAAAAAGAGCAAUGACAGUGUGAAAGGCUAGAUAAAGUAAUCAUACUGAAAUUGGUUAAUUUUGUCAUCAAGAAGAUGCAAUUAGUUCAAAGCUAACUUAGCUGGUUUUGGACUUUUUCUGCUGAGUCUUGUUGGGCUGUAUUCUUCUUAAUUUUACGUCCUUAUUCUUCUGCUCACAAUUUUCUUCUUGCGUUGCAACUUGCAACUUCAGCUGGAUGAUGGAUUAGCUACAGUCUGUGAGAAUAGAAGUGUAUCUUAUGCACAGCUGCAGGAUGGAAAUCACACUUUUGAGGUCUGCACCAAUGCGUCUCAAGGAGUUGGCUGCACUAGCUAUAAUUGGAGUGUUGGUUAAGCAAUCUUCCUUCAAAAUUCACUUUUUUACUUAAUAGUACUUUACAUAGUCCCACGCUGCUUCUAUUCUGUUAGUCAUUGAAAGAGUCUCCAGUCUCGGUGCAAUUUACUGUAGACAUUGGCCUCAACUGAUUUUGAUCGUCUGUGGUGUUUUGGUUUUUACAACUUAAACAUGCUAAAAAAAACAGGGAUCGUUUCUUCAAUCUUUUAAUGAAGUUAUAUUUCAUAAUCUGUUAAAAAAUCAAGUAACUACUGUGUGUAAACUAAGUAUUGCACACACGCAUUUGAUACAACACAUAAUCACUUAAGACAGACAUAGAAGCAAAAUUAUUCUUUAUCAACUUAACAGGGUGCACAUAUAUUAUCAGGACUUGUAUCAUUGGAAGAUAACUUAGACUUUCUCCUUGAGUCCAUAGGGAUGUGAUGAAACAACUUGAAAAUGACCAUAUAAUGUAUCAUCUGGAAGAUUGUCUUAUUGCUGUAUCCACAUAAACACUUCAUGUGUCAAGUCAAUGUAAGAUGUCCUCAUUAUGGAAAGAGUUAGAGAAUCUUUAUGUAUCAUAUCUUCAUAUGUGUCCGUCUACAACAAUGAUAUAAGGCUUUACAUCAACUCAAGCUUUCUGGAUUAACUAUAGUGGUGGUAAAGUAGGAUGGUAGGUUUUAUCAAAGCAAAUUUUCUGGGGGCUGUACUGUGGAGCUAAAACCGUUCAUUGACUGAUAUAGGCUGACAUAUAGCAUGAAUAUUUGAUUUUUCAAAUCAUGAAUGGAAAAGUUCAUGCUGAUUCCCUCCUCAUCAUGUUAUGCUGACACAUUAUUUGUUGGAUUUCUGGCUUCAACUUCAGUACAUUGGAAUCUAAUCUUGCAUCUACUUUUCACAGACACUAUUCCUCCAACAGCCUUUGUAACAGCAUCAGCAAAUUUCACAAAUGCAUCAAAAGUUCUUGUAUAUGUAUCUUUCAGCGAACCCUGUAUUGACGGAGGUGGUUUCCAGUGUCCUUCUCCUGAUGCCUGCAAUGUGAGUACGUUACCAUCUUGAACUUGAGAAGCAGAUCAAUGAUACUAUACAAGAUAAGAAGAUAAAUGACACUACUGUCUUCCAUUUCUUAUACAGUGGUUUCCACAUUAUAUGGAUGUGUUUCUUUUUUAGUGGAAAGACAGUCCUCUUUCCUUCCAUUUAUAUUCUGAGACACAUACUCAUUGCUACUUUUUGAAAAUUAGAUGUUGAAGCUUCAGUGUUCUGAAUCAUUGACCGUUCUGAUUUCAAAUAUGUUCAUAGUUCAUCAUGAGUUCUGUUUUCCAGUCUCAUUAUUUCAUAGACAUUACCUAGUAUAUUUAUUCAGUAACCUAGAUUUUUAGCAUCCAGAUUUCCAUUUCAACAAGAUUCUGAUCAAAUUACAUUUAUUAUCUACAGCUUCUUGUUUAUGGUGCUGGCCAGGUUGUGCCAAACACGCUUAAUGUCAUUGAACCAAACCUCAAAUUUUCACUUACUGUGAGUUUGUCCACAAGUGUUCAAUAUGGAAGGGUGGUAGUGGUGAUGGACAAAAAUUUUUGUACAGACUCUGCAGGAAACAGUUUUACAAGGACAGGAAAUUCAAGUUUAUAUAUUCAUUUUGGUAAGUCCUCUCCUUAGUAGAGAGAGUAAAAUUUGAAAUUCAUGCAUGACUGAAUGGCUGAUUUCCUUGGUUGUGCUCUUCUUCUUGCCACACUCCCUAUUCUUUUCACUGUACAAAGACUGUAAAAGCUGCACACACUGCAAAGUUUGCAUGAUUGUUGACUUUGAAUUAGCUAUUGCAACUUCUUAAUUAUCUAAGGGUUUUAAAGAAGAGGUCAAUGGUAAAGAUAAAUGCUUGAAAGUUAUUAUCCAAGAAAUUUUACUAUUCUUAUUUUCAGAACCAUCAGCCAGUACUAGUUCUCAUUUGUUUCUUGUGAAACACCAGAUAGAAGAAGUGUAUUCGCCAACUUAAGGACUCAUAUACCUGCAAAGGUACUUCAGAUUAACAGGGAGGCUAGAACAGUGCUGGCAACAAAUAAGACCAAGAACCUAAAGUUGUAUUUGUACUUUACCGAACCUGUUCUCAACUCGUCAGCUGAAAUUAUGAAGACUGUAAAUACAAGUCUGGGUUCACUUCUUCCUAUUAGAGGCAAUGAUCUUGGGAAACGUAGAUUUGGCUUUCAGGUUAUUGUUCUCUUUGCAUCAUUUCCACACACAUAUCAAUUCAUGGCAUUAAUGACUGUUUCCUAAGUCUAAUCAUCUGUAAAUGUUUUCUGGUUACUUGUUAUGUCUGUACUCAGGUCAAAGAUAUACCUGACAUGGCUAUAAUCACAGUUAGCUUUGAUUCGAACCAAAUUCUUAGUAGACAGGGGACAUCUGUUUCUCCCAUGGCUCCAGUAACUUUCCUUUAUGGUAUGUAUUACAGCUGUGUAAAGAACAUUCCAUAACAUAUCAUUUUUAACCAGAACAUCCAAGAUCUUUCUUUUUGUGUUCAAACGUCAUUUGUUUGGAAAAUCCUUUACAUUCCAGGCAAGUAAUAGUGUGAUGUCUUAUUGUCUUUCACACAUCCUUUUCCUUCUUGUGAUGUUGUUUUGUGCUUGGACCUGCAGACUCUCUGAGGCCUACUGUCAGGUUAAGUACAACUUCUCAUACGAGGACAAAAGAUGAGAGUAUUCCAGUACUCAUCAAGUUCAUGAAGCCUGUUUUUGGCUUUAAUUCUUCUCAUAUAUCCAUCUCUGGAGGACAUUUGGAGAGGUUAGCAACUUUGAAUCUGAGUAAAUUAUAGUAGCUGGUUAUUUGCUCAGUUUGAAGUUCUUGCCAUCAUAAGCUUAUUCUGUGAUUAGUGGAAUUAUUCAUCUGAGAGUUUAAAGCACAUUAGAAAUUUUAACUGCUAGAGAUGCAAAAAACUAUUGCUACUUGUAAGUGCCUGUCAUAGUUAUCUAAUGAUUCAUACGUCGUUCCAUACAUUUCCAGCUUUCAGAAAUUGAGCAGAAGUACAUAUACCAUGGAUGUACAAGCAGACGACGGUAGCAUAUCCAUCAGUAUUCCAGAAAAUAUAACUGAGGAUGUUGCUGGAAACAGAAACCUAGGUUCGAAUAUACUGCACGUGAGACAUUGUAAGGGUUUUAUUCCUUUUCCAUUUGGCCACCCCUAUUUAGAAGAACUUUAAAUCCUUUUGGAUACCACUUCUUUAUUUCUUCUUAUUGAUUUCAUUGUAUUUGUUGCAGACUCUGUAUCUGUUGUUUCUCUGGUGCUUUCCUCCUUCAUAACAGCUGCAUUUGCAGUUACAUCUUUAGUAGCAGGCUUUCUGACUAUUUCAACUGCAAGCCUCCAAUCAGUUGGAGCUUUCAAAAGGCCAACUCCUCUUUUGACAUCUGAACCCACAAGAAGCCUUUUUGUAAGUUCCCAUCUUUGCCACAUACUCUAAUCUUUUCAGUUAUUAUGAAACAAGAAAUUUGGAUACUAAGAUUUGUUUGUCUCUUAGUGUCCUAAUUGCAUCAACGUCCAUCUACCUGUCUGUUAAACAUGAUGCAAUGGUCAAAAGCUUAAUCUGAAAUCCACAUUUUCAGAAUCGGGAAGCAUAUUCCAUUAUCUUUUUCUAUUUAUUUCUAUAUUUCUCAGAUUUAGUGCUCUCUUUUCAUGAGAAAACUUCAGAAUGUUCACUUUUAUGGCAUGUAUAUCACUAAUAACGAAAUUACAUUUCUAUUUACUGGCAUCUCUUUACAUUAGCAGCAGUUAUUGCAUACACUCAAUUUACAGAAAAAGGGUGUGAAUUUCUAGUCUUUGGGAAGAAAGAAGUGAGCAUGCUAGACAAUAUUUGGUAGUAUGUUCCACAUAGCCAUCUUAUCCUUUUAUUGCGUUUAUGAGAAUUAAAAAUGAAUUUUCCAAUAGUUAUUCAUCAUGGCAAUAUUAACUAGGCUAUUUACUAUAAAGUUAAAUUGCAUGAAGUGUGCAAAACAACUAAACAUUUUUUUGUGCAUAAUGCUCAACCUAACUGAAUAUCUUUUUUCUAUCGAGGAAGAGAAUGGCAAGCCACAUUCAGGUCUAUGCACUGUCUAGGUGGUUAGCAGUUUCCUUGCCUGUCGAGUAUUCUGAAUUUGCAAGAGGUUUACAAUGGAGUAUUCCCUAUUUUAGACUCCCAUGGGAAACAUUGAAAUUUUCACCGCACAUGGGGGGUACAAAUUCCCCGACGAAUCCAUAUUCUUUUACUUCUAAACUUCACUAUCUGGGCAUUGCUAUGAAUUUGACAUCUGAAGAGCAAAAUUUUCUCAAAGCUCCAAAAGUGUAUGGGUUGCCACUCUCUCCUAUGGAAUACAGAACAUUCUUUGAGGUCAGAAGUAGGUUUCUGUCCAAGAUUUCUGUGUUUAUUCUACUUUUGUUUGUGUUUCAAGUUCUCAUUGCCUCAUGUCGUGACACAGGGCCAAAGUAUGAUUCCUGAAGCAGAGCAUAUUGUGAAUCCUCAAACUGCACAUGGGUAAGUUUUAAAAGAUAUUAUCAUCUUAGCUAAUGAAGAAAAUAUGUUACCCUGACAAAAAAUGAAUUGAAUAGUGGUUGGAGAGAUAAGCAGAGAUAAUAUGUAUAAUAGCCUAGUCAAAUUAUGUAUAAAACAUCAAUCAUCAGUUGUGCUUCUUGGUGAAAGGCAUUGAAGCCUUUUGACCGUUAGUGCAAUAAAUACUGAGAAACUAAAAUCUGUUUCCCGAUGUGCUUUGUUUCUGAUGUCUCUGUUGCCUGUGUACUUGCAUGCCUGUUUUUGUUAUUGGAAUUUGGUGCAUCAAAAUUUCCCAUUUACUAUCAUUCAAGUGUUGGAAGAAUCCUUAUAUUAGUGAUGUCUUGCCACAUUCUGUUUCUUUCAGGUGGAGAGAUUUCAAAAGAAGCAUGUUCUGGUUAGCUGUAAUCUAUGGCAGUCUAAUGUUGUUGCAUACAUUACUCUUUUCAAUUCUAUGGUUGAGAAAGAAGAAUACCGAAAAAAAUAGAAGCUACGGGGCAUUGAUAUUCCCACGCUUUGAGAUCUUUCUUCUAAUUCUUGCACUGCCUUGUAUUUGUGAGGCUUCAGCAGCUUUGCUUAAAGGUAAUUCAGGUUCCUUUUUCAUUUUUCCUUUUAUUUAGGUUCCUUAUUGCUUAACUCCACUCCUCCAAAUAACAGGAUAUAUUAGGGUACGUGUAGAAUAAAAAUUCAUUGCAUGAAGAAACCCACCUUUGACAGUUUUCCUUUGCACUUCGUUGUUAUCUAUAUUGGAAGAGAAAGAAGAUUUUAAGUUCAUUGAACAGCGUCAAAUCUUGAGUCCAGAUAACAUAUCUCCAACCGUUGAUUCUUGGUUAAUGGACUAACAUCAGUAGCAAGGCUGUUAAACUUUUAACCAUUGAGCUGAGAUGUUUGUUAGAUUUGAAAUCCAUCAAUAACCUCCCAUAACCUCCCUCUUCCCCCAUAAAUAAUUUAGGAAAAAGAAGAAUAAUGUUUUGGUAUUGAUCAACUUAUCAGACUCUCUCUCUCUCUCUCUCUCUCUCAGUUUGUGGCAUGGUUGAUACAGAAAAAGAAAAAGGGAUAUGUCAUUGUAGCUCAUCUCCUUUAUCAAGCAGUACUUUUUUUAAAUGAAACUAGUGUAGUGUGUGGAGUUCCUUAUGUGUAGUAGCAAUCUUCCACUGUAAACUCCUUAAUACUGGUCCAAUGGGUUGUUACCUUCUAAUCUUGCUGUCUGAUGUCAACAUAAGGAACAUUAUGUUAUGCAAUUCAUACUUCUUUAGGAAGUACAUUGACUUGCUGAGCAAGAAUAUAAAUAACUUGUGCAUAAAUCAAUUGCUCAAUAUCCAUCUUUAGUAAUUCUUACAAUUUGGUUUAAGAAGCUCUGCUUUUUUGCUUUAUGAUUGAAGGAGGAGCAUCUUCUGGGAUGGUUGUGGGCAUUUUGCUAUUAGCUGUAGUAUUUUUUCUGCUGCUGGCCUUGCUUUUGUUCCUAUCCGUGGGAAUUACACUUGGAAAGCUACUUCAAUACAAGGAGGUGCAUCAAGAGGGAGAGGCUAUUCACUGGUACCAAGAGAUUAUCCGAGUAACGCUAGGCCCUGGUAAAAGAGGCCAGUGGACUUGGAAGAACGAUUCAAAAUCUACAUGUCUAACAAUCUUAGGACCUCUGUUUGAGGAUCUACGAGGUCCCCCUAAGUACAUGCUAUCUCAGAUUACAGGUGGAAAUGUCCAAAAGCAACGCGACAGAAUUAUUGCCUCAGAUGAUGAGACAGAAGAUGCAGAAGCACCUUUUAUACAGAAAGUAUUUGGAAUUCUGCGUAUAUACUACACAUUGCUUGAAGUGGCCAAACGUGUUGUUCUGGGGAUUGUUGCUGGUGCAUAUUCAGAAAACUGGGCUUCAAGAACUCCCACGAUUACCUUACUUUGCAUAACCUCUUUUCAACUCUUUUUCAUGGUGCUUAAGAAACCUUUCAUCAAGAAAAAGGUCCAGUUGGUUGAGAUCAUCUCAGUUUCCUGUGAAUUUGGCAUUUUUGCUACCUGUUUGGUGCUCUUAUAUAAAGGAUUUUCAGCCAAGGAUGAGACAAAAAUUGGGAUCUUCAUGCUCUCACUCUUCUUGUUGGCAUUCUUAGCCCAACUGAUCAAUCAAAGUUACGCAUUAUAUAGGCAGGCAAAGAAACUUGACCCUGCUGGGAACUUCUUGACUGGCUUGAAAAUCGCUUUGAUUGGUUUUCUUCUGCUCUUCAUUCCUCAAAGAUGGAUAAAAAACCUGGUAAGUAAGUUCCCUUUGUAUAAUACUGCUGAAGGUGAAGGGACUACUACUUCUUCAGGUGACAGGAGAUCCAGUAGCAGAAGUUCCGAUGAAAGACCAUGGCUGAGGCAACUAAGAGAACUAGCUAGGUCCAGCUUUAGCAAAGAAAGGGCUGCAACUCCAACUGAUCCUUCUACAAGUCAAGGCAGAUGGAGUGGAUUUUGGAAUCUUAAGAGGAGUGGAAGCCCUUCAAUGACUUCAUCAUCAGAUUUUAAGGCAAAAUCAAGACUGUCAAAAGAUUUAGAAUCCAUCUUUUCAUCUAAAUGACCACACUAACACAAAUCUUGUCAUUAGCUUUCUUGACCAUUCCUGAUCUCUCGAAUGCUGAGGAUUAGCCUACCUUCUGAAUUUUUGAGAAUUUCCAGUGUUACUUAAUUUGGAAUUUCUUGAUGGUUUCAGAGCUUAUAUAGCUAGAAGAAUAUAUAAAUCUUCUGGCAGUGAGAUUAAUAAUGUAGAGGCCUAAGUUGUACAUCGCCAAACAGUGGCUGAAUGCAGAAGCUGUGUGGAGGUUCAUUGACAUGGGUUAAAGGACAUGAAGGAUUAUGCAUUACUUGCUUAGUGUAAUGAGAUAAUAGUGGUCCUGCAUACAGAUAUACAAUGUAAACCAUCCAUUUGUACUCAAUUCAAGAAAACAAAGCACUGGCUCUUCCAUUUGCAGAAAAUUUUACAUCAGAUAAAACAUUUUGUAAUACUAAUCUGAUUUAUCCCAUCCUCAUUUCCUUGAAACCAAAAGAAUUUUGUAAACCAUUUUGUUCAAAAGAAAGUGGUAGACAAUCAGUAGGAGCAAAUUGUUCAAAAAAAAAAGUUAGGGGUACAAUACAUCAAAAGGAAAGAGUUUAAGGCUUAUAAGAUGCAAUUUACAAGAUUUCAUAAAAUGAAAUAAAGUUAUGAGAUUAUGGAAUUGAUUCAAUGCAUUACAGAACAUCCCAAACAAAGAUGCUUUACUGGUAGUGCUACCGCCCAUUGAAUAAUCAGAGAUUCUCAGGAAAAACCGCACCACCUUCCAGAAGCAAAGACAGCUGAAAACUGGGGACAAAUCUGACUGAACCGAAUCAUUAAACAAAACACAGCCAUCUGCGCCUGAUUACCUUCUUCAAGUACACUAAGCAAAACCCAAAUUCCAACGCCCCAGCCUCAUAUAUCUGUCCCCAUCUCAACACCCCACGUACUAACGCUGAAUUCCAGUUACAUAACACCUGAUAAGCAAAUCCUGUUAUAGCAAGAAAUAUAUAAGGGGAUUCUUGUGCCCAUAUGGGAUCUUUAUUCAGUUCAAACAAGAGCAAGGAAGAAAUAGAAAUGGCUCUUUCCAAAGUUAAACAAAUUGUUUCCUCACAUCCUGUUGUUGUCUUCAGGUUUCUGCCCCCUAUUACAACUUAUGUGUGUGCCUGUGUUUCCUAACCCCAAUAAAGGAAAUGAUUAAUCUUUUCUUGAUCUGGGCUAUAUUUGAUUUUUUGGCUAACUAAUCUUAUCUUGUUUAUUUUUGUUAAUAGGUAUUGGCUUAGAUAUUGGAUAUAGAUCCUUAUUAGUAGUGUUUUUGUGCAGUAAAACAUUCUGCGGAUAUUGCAACAGGGUGAAGCAGUUGCUUGACCAGCUAGGUGCAACUCAUACAGUUGUUGAACUUGAUGAGGAAAGUAAGUGCUGUAUACUAGUAACAAUUUAUUGUUGAUCAAUGAUUGGAAAUUCGCAAUUUCAUGUCUUGAUUUACAGCUUCAUUUGAUGUCGAAAUUGAUGUGCUGUUGUUUGUUUGUCAAUUUUGAAGCUGAUGGAACCGAAAUGCAGUCAGCUCUAGCCGUGUGGACCGGCCAAAGGACAGUGCCCAAUGUGUUCAUUGCUGGCAAACACAUUGGUGGUUGUGACAGUAAGUCCAUUUGCUCUUUUUUCUUUCUUUCUUUUUCAUGAAAUUCUUUAUAUAGAUCCAAUUUACAUUGAUUCUUCUCAUAAAUAAAAGUAUAUCCAUUUGUGGACCAUGGUGAUGGUCCACAAGAGAGGUUAUUUUCUUUUGGUAGUUAUGAACCAUAAUUUUUAAGUGUCUUGAGAUAGUUAUAUCUCAAUUAGGUGAUUAAAGGUUCUUGAGCAAUUUUUAGUGUCUCAAGAUAUAAUUUUCUCUAGAGCAUGGUCAAUCACAUUCUUCCUUGUCAAUGGUUGAUGUAGACCAUGGUAGUCCAAUGAUUACUAGUUUUGUCAACUUUUAGUAUCUCAAGAUAUUGUAAUUCAAAGGCUUGGUUAUUCACAUUCUCCCUUCCCUAGGGUCCAAGUUCUUACUAGUAAAAGAGAAGGAAGGAUAAAAUAUGAAAGAGUACUUAACAAAUGAUAUAUUUAUAUAUUUGGAUUUUAGGGGAGUCUUACAACUUUUCUUGGUUGUGUGAUUGCAGCUGUGACAGGAAAGCAUGAGAUGGGUGAACUUGUUCCACUGCUCAAUGAGGCUGGUGCUAUCCCAAAGAAGUCUGCUCAGCUUCAGAUUUAAAAGAAAUAUGAAGGGGAGAUGAAGCUUAUGCAUGAGAAAUUAGUUCUCUGUCUCUGAAUUCUGAUGUAAAAUAAGUCCAAGAUGUAUGUGGGGAAUAAGUUUGAUUACUACAGAUUUUCUAGUCUGUAACUAGUAUCAAACCACUUUUUAUAUGCUCUUGCAUUAUAUUCUAUGUGUUACAACAAUUCCCUUGUAUUGCAUUUCAUUUCCUCUACUUGAAUUAAAACAUUUCUUUGAAUUAGUUUUAGUUUAUUUCACUACUUACAUUUUUACCAAAUAUUAACCUCAACAAUGAGAAAAAUAACAAUUACAACCUUAGACAUAUACAAUCAUGGACAUCAAAUGUCCUAAAUAUAGUCAAGGAGUCAAGCUUACAAAAUAAAACAAAACAAGCCCGUUAAAGAGCUAAGGAGUGCCUACGCGAGCAAUUAACAAAACUUAAACAAAAUCCAUAUCUUCUUCAAUUCCCACUCUCACGUUCUUACCCCUGUAAGAAAAACAAAUGGCGUGGAAUGAGUUAGAAACCCAGUGAGGUUCCAAGUAAUUAAGUAGGUAAAAUACGAGACAAAAUAGCAUAUUCAGACAUCAAGAAACAAGUCAACUUCGAUGAAAUUAUAAUCCAGUAUAUAAUUGAGCAAAUAGCCAGAUAAAACAUGCAAAAGGGUGCAGUAAGGAACACAUUCAUAUCAAAAGAUAUAGGUUGCUCUCAGGAGCAAGUUCCACAGUAGCUUGAUCAAGGUCCGUUGACCCUCCGUCAACCACGAAAGUAUAACAUCCGUAGAUCCCUACUUAACACUAGUUUCCAUCCACUAUCACCUCUUACCGGGUCCGAACGUCCGAGAAGUAUCCAAGAUUCGUUAAUCUUCUCGACCAAACCCUUGCCGACUCGAUUUGACCAACUAACCUCGGGGUUGGACUUAUAGUUCCAGAUAUACAGUAAUUCACGAUAUGGCUUAUAAUCCCCAAGUAUUCAGUAAUCAAGAUUGGAGUCGUUGGCAAUUAUCCAACGCUCACACAGUAAAGCUUGGAGACGUUAGUUGUCACUUAACGCUCCGUAUUCAGAAAUAAACAGUGGUGGUGAUAUUCGAAUAUACCAAUUAAUCGAGAAGAUAACACUCCACUCGACAAAACAGGAUAAAGGUACUGAGAAGGGAUGAGAGGUACCUCCCACUCGGAUGGAGUGUGGUACAUGCGACCGCUAAACCCUAGUGUCGAUGAGAUAACUCUCCAAUCGACUUAAUCGAGAUAAAAGUACUGAAACGGGAUGAGAGGUACCUCCCACUCGGAUAGAGUGUGGUACAUACAGCCGCCCAGCACUAGUGUCGAUGGGAUAACUCUCCAAUCGACUUAUCGAGAUAAAAGUAUUGAGACGGGAUGAGAGGUACCUCCCACUCGGAUGGAGUGUGGUACAUACGGCCGCUCAACACUUGCAAGUCAAAUACAAACAUAAACACAAGUACAUGUCAAUCAAGUUCAAGUGAGUACAAGAUCAUUCAAGAAAGGGAGGCUAAGUGUGACAAUGACACACUCGCCUAGCCAGAAUCAAGUCACAAGUAUUGUCCAGUAAUUCAUAUUCUCAAGUAUUCCAAUACUGUCCAGUAAUUCAUACUGUCAAGUAAUGUCUAGUAAUUCAUAUUCUCAAGUAAUAUCCAGUAAUUCAUAUUUUCAAGUCAAUAUACAAAUCAAGUUACUUGUUCAUGCAUGAAGGAGAUAUCAAGUGUUUAAUCAAUUCAGGUCAAUUGGGUAUACAUAAGAGCACACUCGGCUAAAUAGAUUCAAGUCACAAUUAAGUUCAACAUAUCAUGUUUUAAGCAAUUCAAGUAUUUCAAAUCCAAACAGUUGAAAAUCAAAUGGUUAUGAAACUUGAUCAAAUAAGAAGAACUGGAGAAAAUUAGAAAUCUCUUUAGCAAAUCCGGUCACAUAUCAGUUAUAACAAAACGGUCAGUACAUAUUUUAACAAAAUAUCAAAGUUUAGUCAAGCGAGAUCAAGUGCAAUAAAGUACACACUUAUAUAUGAGACAAGAAAUCAAGUACCUAGCAUUGUCUAACAAUAAUGAGUAUGUAACACGUAAGUCAGUGGGAUAACCACCCGAGUGACCAAUAAGUCAAGUGCAAGCAAAGCAUUUCAUCUCAUAUCAAUAUCACGAAAUGAACUACAAAGGAUCGAGUAUGAUAAAGUACAUUCUCGUCCCAAAGGUUAUCAAUUCAAGAGCAGUUACUUUAACCAAGUAAGCAUGUUAUUCAAGCAAGGAGACAUUUCACGUAAAUAUUUUCAUGUACUUGGAACACUCACCUGUCAAGCAAUACAGUAGUCAAACGUCAAGUAUCUCGGUUACAACCACCUUCGUUUCCCAAUCCUAGGGCAACGAGUGAAAUCGUUAACAAAUUAGGUUCAUUUCCCACUCAAUUGUAAGCUCAUUAAGAGACCAAGUGAGUGGUUAAAGUCAUUCAAUUCAUCAUGCAAACUUCGUCCAAAAUGCAGUAAAAGUUCAUGAGAAAACAAUUUUAACAAGUGCAUGAUAGUUGGGCAAAAGAAAAGUUUCAUUCAAGCUCAAAAUGUUCUUCACGGGUAAAACAGUCACUCCCGCGCAGUUUUGGGAAAACGGCUAUAUCUCAUUGUAGGAAGAUCGAAAUCAGGUGCGUCAGUGGCGUUGGAAACUAGACUCGAAGGGCUUUUCAACGGUACCAAAUUCAUACUCUAGUUCGUCUUCUAUCAGUACCAGUAGCUCAGACAAUUUGACUGAUUUUUCAACUCUGGAUCAGCCCUAACCUCAAGCAAAACUACUUUAGUUCUUGGUGUUAUCUUCAUUCGUUUUAUUUCAAAUUUACCCAAAUCAGUCCUAUAAUGUUCAUAUACAGGGAUUUAGGUCACCUAGUACCAUUGGAGUUCAAAAUGAAAUACAUCAAUAUGAUUAAGAAUGACUAUAGCAGUCUAGUCAUCAAGAGAAACCAAAACAGUCCACUAGUGGUCCAACCAACCAUUUUACUUGCUUAAAUUUCAUUCUAACAAACACAUGAGAUUAACCAAUGUCUAGACAAGUUUCUUAGGCAUGAUUAAGGUGCAAAUAAAUCACAAAAAUCAAGGGAAAACCCCUCCUUCCAAUACCAGUCAGCCAAGGAAAAAGAAAACAGUCCACAAGUUCACAUAUUUAUCUAACCUUCAUCUUCUCAUGAUUUUCACUUAAACAACAUAUCAAGUGUUAAAUCUAACUCAAAAGGGGCCUAAAACAUGUUAAUACUUCAUAAACAACCAUGAACAAAGUUUAAACAUUUCAUCAAACACAUGGUGUGCAUACUAACUAACCGAACUACUACUUGUUUAAUUCAAGAAGAUUAAUCACAAAUCUCAUCCAAAUAACUUAUAGCUUGCUAUUAAAACUUAUAGUACAUGAUAUAAUACCAUAAAACCAAGAUUUAAAGAUUAUUUACCUCUCUUGUAAGAAACUUGAAUCACCAAAACAAUCCACCAAAAUGAAAGCUUCAAGCUUGAAACAAACUCUAGGGUUGGAGGAGAUUCACUCUACUAACUCAAACUCUUUUUCUUUUGGUUUUAGCUCUUGAUCAAAGUAGGGUUAGAAAGCAAGAAAAAUGAAGUUUUCUCUCUUCCUUGAGAAGCUUCAAGAAUUCAGCCAACCUAAGAAAUAAUAGAGCCAAGAAUGGUUUAAAUUUUACUCUAACCUUUGGUCAAACAAGAUGCAUGGUUAGGGUUUGGCCACUUGGUCCAAUUCUUGUCCAUUUCUUCCUUAAUCUUUGACUAAUGGUGUUUCAACCCUUCAAAAUAUUCCAAUACCUAUUUAAUACCUUUAACCUAUCAUAUAAAGUCCCAACUACAAUAAAAUAAUAUUUGGUAAAAAUGUAAGUGGUGAAAUAAACUAAAACUAACUCAAAGAAAUGUUUUAAUUCAAGUAAAGGAAAUGAAAUGCAAUACAAGAGAAUUGUUGUAACACAUGUAAAAUAUAAUGCAAGGGCAUAUAAAAAGUGGUUUAAAUCUUAAGGCAAGGCAUGUAGUUUAAGAAAAUUACGUUUUAAAGUGAGGGUUCUCUGGUUGUUAAAAUCGCGAUCCGGAUCGUACGAUCCGGAAAGUCAAAAUCGAUCCGGAUCACACUCAGAAUUGCAAAUUCCUUGAAUCUACAUAGGAUCGACGUAGGAUCGGUAAGAUCGUGUAGAAUCGUACGAUCCUACAAUCCUACUUCGAUCCCACAAAUUUUUGCUAAUUUGUGAAAUACAAGGCUCAUUUUGUAAGUAAAUGAAAAUAUUUGAGGUAGUCUUGUAAUUUAUCAAAGAAUUGCAGGCCUUAGUUGCAAUGUUUUAACAAAUUUUGCCUCAAAGUAAAAAGGUUCCGUAAAAAAGCUUCGGGUCUUCUCCUCAAGCAGACCUGUGUCGUUUCUCUUCUCCUCUCCGCUGCCCAAAUCAAAUCCCUAAUUUAAACCAUCAAAUCACCUCAAGCUUCGGCUACAGCUCUUAUCAAGAACCCACAAGACAAAUCGCUGCGGCUUCUACCAAGAACCCACAAGCUACAGCCGACAGCUUCAAGGCUUCAAGCUCCAGCAGCCAUUGCUUCGGUAAGAAUAUCAAGCUACGAAAUCCUCUGUUGCCGCCGGAUUUUGGCCGUUUCAAGCUUCAAAGCUUGAAGCUCCAGCACCCGUUCUUCUCCAAUUUUCGUGCUACCAGCCUGCCACCACACUGAAGCUCAAGCACCAGCACUUCAAUUAAAGUCACAUGUGAGUCUGGUUAUUUUCUUGCUUGAAAAUUGAUACGUGCGGAGAUGGUGAUUGAUAAAGUUGUGAUUUGUAUUUGGUUUUCUUGGUAUUUGAACAUAUAUUGCCUUUGAUUGAAUUGAGUUGAAGGGAAUUAUUGACGGGUCCAUUAGGAUUUGUGAAAAUUUGGUUUUCUUGCUUGAAAAUUAUUGACGGUUCUGAAGCACCAGCACUUGUCUUAGGAUUUGUGCUCUCAGAAUCAUUAACGGGUCCAUUAGGUACACUCUUUUUUGCCUUCUCCAUAGGAAGCUCUGAUAAUCGAGACUCUGC